CGCGCGGAACUUGGCCACCUUCACCCCGGACCCCGCCAGCUUCUCGGCCAGCUCCACGUAGGAGGCCUCCAUGGCCUGGCAGAACGGGCACCAGGGCGCGUACAGCACCACGAGCCACGGCUCGGCGCGGUUCUCCAGGCGCAGCAGGUUCUCGAUCCCGGUGCGGGUGAGGGACACCACGGCGGGGCUCUCGAAGAUGUCCGGGGCGCCCGCCGAGCCGUUGCCGUUGGCGGACCUGGGGGCCGCCGCCUGGGCGUCCUUGUCGAUGUUGCCCUUGUGGAGGCCGCACUCCUUGGCCUUGGCGUCCUCCCACCACCACCGGCCUUCACGCUCGUGCUGCCCCGGCAGGACGGGCCUGGUGCACGGCUCGCACCCGAUGGACACGUAGCCCUGUGAGAAUGAGAGACUGUCGUCAAUCGCUUGCACAUUUGGAUAACUGAACAAAGCUGUGCAAAAAAAAAAACUAGUAGGCGAAGAAUUGAAGUUACCUGAGCAUGCAGGGUGUUGACAGGUACGUCCAUGGUCCGCAGGAAAGUCCAGAUGUCCUUGCCGUCGACGUUGGCCACGGGGUUCCACUUGACCAAGCUACCAGCCCCGCCAUCCAGGCCUUCGAAGGAAGGAUCAACCUGGACAAGGGGGAUGCUGGCCCUGGUGCCGGGGGACUGGUCCUUCCUCUGGCCGGUGAUCCACGCCCUGAGCCCCUUGAGCGCCCUGCGCAGGGGCCGCACCUUGCGCACCCGGCAGCACUCCUGGUGGCCGUCCUCGUAGAAGGAGAAGAGGCCCUUGGUGCGCACCAGCUCCUGCACCUCGCUCGCGUCCGGGAACAUGUACUCGAUGCGGAUGCCGUAGUGCUUCUCCACCUUGUCGAAUAGCUGGUACGUCUCCGGGUUCAGACGCCCCGUGUCCAGGCUGAACACCCGGAACGGACGCCCCGUCAGCUUGGCGUACUCGAUCAGCGCCACGUCCUCCGCGCCGCUGAACCACACCACACGACACGAGAGGGAUCGGUGUCGUCAGUUAAGCUAGGUUUGCCCGUAUUCCGAGGAUCAAACUUUAUUAAGCUUGAAUAAAUUUAUAAAAAUUACUAUAAUAUCUAUAUCUCUAAAUAAUUUAACUAUAAAAUAAAACUACAUAUAACAAUCUAUUAAUGAUACUAUCACAAUUAUUAAUUUAUAUUUGUAUUUGAUUAAAAUUUAAAAUAUUUAACUUCUCGUACAGUUAUUACGUAACAAAGUGGAUGAUACCACCACGAUGAGUUCCGCCUGCCUACUUUACUUUGUCGUCUACCCUUGGAGCUGCCCUAGAACAGCCCAACACAGCUCCACUAUCGGUUUAGGAAUUAGGACGCCGUGACUUUUCUGGUUUCGUCCGAUAUUCAAACAAGGUUGUUCGGUUGCGCGUGGGUGGUGGGCCAUGAUUCUAGCUCUGGUGUCUGGUCGACAACACAACCUUGAACACCAGGGUAAAUGGUAACGGUAACGGUUUGCAUUCGAUUACCAGUGGUAACAAGUUUGAAUAGGCUGAUAUCAAUUUCUAGUGUGGUAUCGGAUUACGAUUGUACUUAAACAAACAUGAUUUAACGUUAUUUGUUACCGAUUACAUUACAAAUAUAUGAACCAAAUAUCACCCAAGUUCAAUGAACCUAGACACCUCAAGCUUGGCUCACUGGUCCAAGUACAUAAGCAUGUGCAGCAAAGUGGGCUUCGCUAAACCUGAUUGGAUUUCAGCACCUCAGGACCAUAAACAACUGACUACUAGUAGUAGUCUCUUGCUGUUUCAGAGGCAGACAGGUGGGACACACAGUUCAGUGGCCAGCGAAAUACGCGAGUCCACUUGGAAUGUGUACGGCCACACGUUCGGAAGAUACCACGACGCCGCGAGCAUACCGGAUGCAGGUCGCCGCGCCUAAACCCAUUCCACGAGGACCAACGGCAACGGAGGCUAACGGGCACGCGGUAACGAGUACCCGAACCGAACCCGUCACGGUUCAGGAGUGGCACGAGAGAGGACGUCACGCACCUGAAGGCGAUGGCGAUUUCGGAGCCGAACAUGGCCAGCGCCCGAUCCAUGAUCUCCAGCGGCGACGCGCCCUCCAGCUCACGCGCCAGGGCCUCGUAGUCCACGGCCGCAAGGGCCGCCGCCUCGUCGGCCACGGGCGCGGCCGGCGCCGCCGCGGCCGCGGAAGCCGCCACCGGCUGCCUCGCAGGCUCCGCCGCGCGCAGCGAUCGCACCGCCCGAGCGCGCUGGCCACGCGCUGCCGCCGCCGACGGGGCCACGCUCGCCUGCUGCUGCCUCAGCCCGCCAAUCCUCGCAGCUGCGCGAACAGAAGGGAGAGAGAUGAGAAGAGUUAGGCCGGUAUGCGCUUCGAAUUCCGGUGAAUUUUGUUGCGGAGCAGCGCAUUUCACUAGCUGAAACGUCGGAUCCGAGCAAAAAUUAUACAAAGGAAAGAGCAUCCAGAACAAAGAAAACAUGUCACCUUUGACGUCGCGGAGGGCGGCGGGGUGCGACGAGAUGGAGGUGGUAGCGGAAGCCAUGGAUGCUCUCUUGGGGCUUUCGAAUUGAAUUCGCAGCGGUUUAAAUUCUCUGGAGCAAGAAAAUGUGUUUCGACACCUGCGUUUUUUCUGUGGCGUGGGGUGGAAGCGGGCGGGUGGUUUACAUAUAGGUCGGGCGGGAGGCCAGGUUCAUCGCACCCGGACGGGUUUCCGGCAGCGGCAGCGGGCAGCCUCAUGGGACACGUGGCGGUUUCCAAUUGGUAGAGCGCACGGGAGGCUUCCUGGCCGAUCGAAGCAGUGGCGUCAUAGAAGAGGCCCGGCUGUGCCGAGUGGACGCCUGUCGUGGCGAUGAAUUGGCUAGUUGUGUGGCUACCUCACGCUCGUUUGCCCCCUUGCGAAGAUCCAUCCAUCCGCAGCCGUAGAGGAGGACAUGGGGUACUUUGGAUCAGACCGAACUGCCAAAGUCAAAGAGGGGCAACGCUCUUAGCGCCACGUAUCUGACACAACUGGUGAUUAAAGCCGGCUGCUUGAACUGCUAUAUCUGAAAUUUACAGAGACAAAAAUAUUGUAGAAUCAGUAAAAAACCUGAUAUAGAUUAAAACAAAGAGAAUAAACUGAUGGUGGACUGCUUGGGCCAGGCAAAAUUUCUACGCUAUCAUCAAAAUACGUAUUUGGGGUCUAUUAGACUCAAAACCAGUAUCGGUGGCCUAUCAAUUGUAAGUGCUCUUGGACAACCAAUACGGCAAGGGUACAUUAAAGAUUAUAUAAAUGUCUAAUGUCAAUGAACUGUUUAUAGAUUAUUAUAAUGUAGAAAUCUAUAUUAUAUAAUCCAUCUAAUAAUCUUUGUAGUUUGUUUGUCUCUUAACUUAUUUAAACGAUUAUAUAAUUUAGAGGGUAAACAAAAAGUACCUAAGCUAAUUUGUUUUUUUUUUUUGAAAGGGAGGGGCAAAAGGAUUGCCGCUCCGAUCUAUAUUAGAAGGGAAAGAUAAAUACAAACACCAAGGAUCUUAAGGGAAAGGAGGCGAAAAACAACAAAAAAGAACAGAAGGCAAAUAGAAAAGAAAAACAGCCGAAGCCAAAAGAAAAACCACUGGGCCAAAAACAGCCAACUAACUAGCCUUCAGUUACUACCAUAAUCCUUGACCGCUAGAGCAACUUGAUCAGCGCUUCGAUGCUGCCUUUGAAAAAUUCUGUUAUUUCUUUCCAGCCAAAGGUUUCACCAAAAAUGAAUUAGAAGACCGUCAAAACCUCUUCUGGUCUGUCUGGUGCAAAGGCUGCGCAGGUCCAUCCACUAAUCAUAUAAAGAAAUGUCAUUGGGAGACCCCGUCAGUAAAGGAACGUUGGCCCCAGUCCAAACUUUGUUCCACACCUCUCUACUAAAGGGGCAAUCCUUGCAUAAGUGGAGGAUUGUUUCUGGGGCCGAGUUGCAGAGACGGCAAACUGGGCUACAUGGCCAGCCUCUUUUUUGAAGGUUGUCGGCCGUCAGAAUUCUCUUAUGGAGAAGAGUCCAAGCAAAAAAUCUGCACUUCGGUUCCACUUUAGCCUUCCAAAUGGGGCAUAGAUUCAUACUACUGAAAUUGGAUGUGAACUGGAUUUUGUAAGCACUACUAGCACUGUACUGCCCAUCUGCCGUCCAUCUCCAAGAGAUGUUGUCUUCUAACCCGUUAAGCUCAUGCAUAUUACCUAUGGCCCGCCAAAGAGAGAUUAACUCUCCAAACUCCCCCUCCCCCGUAUACGGUGAGCAAAGACGAAUCCAGUUGUUGUUAUUGAGCGCUUUGGCCACCGUGAUGUUCUUCCUCUUUGUCUUCCUGAACAAUGAUGGCGCAAUGUUCUUAGGGGCCUGGCCUUGAAUCCAACUAGAAUUCUAGAAUUCUGCCAUCUUUCCAUUGCCUAUCGUGACAGUUGUGGAAGCGUUGAAGAGAUCUUCAUCAGUUUUGUCACAAGGAAGCUUCAAGGCAGUCCACGCCCUAUCUUUGCUCUUCCAACGUAGCCACGGCCAUCUUAAUCUUAGCCCCCUCGCAAAACGAUCAAGGUCCAGAACACCAAGACCUCCCUUGUCCUUUGGGAGGCAAGUUAGGGGCCAGUUGACGAGGCAGUGCCCCCCGCUGCAAGCUUCUGGAUUGCCCCCUUUCCACAGGAAGUUUCUACGCAUUUUGUCAAUUGUUUGCAGCAGCCAUUUUUGAGGUGGAAAAACCGUUAAAUGGUAGAUUGGUUGUGCGAAUAGCACCGCUUUAACAAGAGUUUCUCUACCGGCCUUUGACAGCAAUUUGCCUUUCCAGCCUGCCAACCUAUUGUUGAUUUUUUCUAUUAGAGGUUGAAGGUCAUUUCUUCUAACUUUCUUGAAAUGAAGGGGUAACCCGAGGUACUUCCCGGGGAGACUAGAGUAUUUGCCCGGAAACACCUCCAUUAGUGCAGGCCAUAAUGCUGUCGGGUAACGAAUUGGGUAGAUUUCUGUUUUGUCAUAGUUGAUCUUUAGCCCAGAGCACCCCUCGAACGCGUUGAGAAUCCCUUUGAGCACCUCCAAGUCUGACUUGUCAGCUUUAAUGAACACACCUGCGUCAACCGCGUAGAGAGAGCACCGCAACUUAGCCCCUCUAGGUAAAACCUGCCCAAGCAAUCCCUCGCCAGCGGCUUUCUCAAUCAUCCGGUGUAAUGGAUCCAUCGCUAAAAUGAAAAGGUAGGGGGAUAGAGGGUCUCCUUGUCGCACCCCACGCCUGUGAUUGAUUGCAUUUGAACGUUGCCCAUUGAUAACUAUUCUUGAGGAGGAGGACCCCAAAAUGUCCGCCACCCAAUUGCGCCAUUUCUGAGAGAACCCGCAGGCCCUUAACACAUCCAGGAGGUAUGCCCAAUUCAGGGUGUCAAAAGCUUUGGAGAUAUCGAGCUUGAUGAAGAGAGCAGGAUUACCAUUUUUAUGCAGGUUCAUAAUCACCCUUUGCACAUACAGAAAAUUGUCGUGGAUUGACCGGUUCUGGAUGAAGGCAUUCUGAGCACUGGAGAUAAUUUCAUUCAUUCUUGGAGCCAGCCUAUUUGCCAUGAUUUUUGUUAUAAUUUUCAUGAAGCUGUUAAUUAGGCUGAUCGGCCUAAACCUCGCAAUUCUGUCCGCAUUUUCCCCCUUUGGUAUGAGGAUGAUGUUUGCUUCAUUAACCAGGUGUAGGCUUUUGGAUCUAUGCAGGAAAAAAUCCUUAAUUGCCAUGGAAAGAUCAUAUUUUAUCAAUUCAAAGCAGCUUUUAUAGAAGAGCCCAAUGAACCCGUCAGGACCAGGGGCCUUUUCCGAGUGAAGACCCAUCACAACAUCCUUGAUUUCACUGUCAUCAAUCGAGUUAUCCAGCUCAGAUAACUCAAAGGGGGCAUACCCCAGGUGGUCCCAAUGAACAGCACUGCUCCUCGUACCUGUCGUGCCUAGCAUCUGAUCGAAGUGACGCUGCACCUCCAUCAAUUUGUCUUCCUGACUCGUUAACAUUGUGCCAUCUUUAAAUAAUGAUCUGAUUAAAUUUUUCCGUCUUCUGUUAUUGGCUGUUAGGUGAAAGAAUUUAGUGUUAGCAUCGCCCAGCCGCAUCCAGGUGAGUCUAGAGUGCUGUCUUGCACGUGCCCUCUGAGCGGAGGUAAUAUCAAGAAUCUUGCUUUUAAGAGUCCUCCUGAAGUCUAAUUCUUCAGAGGAGAGUUGUCUAUUCUCUUGAGCUUUAUCCAGAAGAGUAAGGGUGAUCUGAAUGAUGGCCAUCUUCACUUUGAAGUUGCCAACCGUAUUGCGUCUCCAAGCCAUAAGAGCUUUGGCAGUGCGAACCAUCUUUACGUGCAGUCGAAGGAUGGCAUCAUCUGUGGUUACUGUAGAAUUCCAAGCUUGAUGGACUACCUCGUUGAACCCGUCAAUCUGAGGCCAAAAAGAUUCGAACCUAAACCCUUGGUAAAAAGUACCCGAAGAGUGGCUUCGCAAUAGAAGCGGGCAGUGGUCUGAAGUCAUGGUGCACAUGGAAUGUAUGUCAGCCGAGGGGAACAGGUCGUGCCACUCUGUUGUUGCGAAGAUCCUAUCAAUCCUAGUCAUGGUAGGGCUCAUUUGUUCAUUUGACCAGGUGAAUGCUCUAUCAGUGAGCUCAAAUUCAAGGAGAUGCAGAUCAUCAAUUGUGUUAUUGAACUGCCUCAUCACUCUUCGGUUGAUUGAACCUUUGUUUUUCUCUCUUGCUCUCCUGAUCAUGUUGAAGUCACCUAGAAGGAUCCAUUCUGGUCUGACUAUUGAUUGGAUGUACCGGAGUUCCGAAAGGAAUAUCAUUUUCUCGUUUUCCAGUUGUGGCCCGUAAACCCCCGUGAGGUCCCACACCACAUCCUCCAGCCUAGAACUGAUCCUGACUGAUAGUGAAUAUGCUGCUGAACUUGGUAAGAGAGUCAUGUCGAAAAAAUCCGGAUCAGCGACAAUAAGGAUACCACCAGAGGUGCCCAGAGAAGGGAGUUGAAAAGAUUGGUUGGCUAGUUUGGCGCCUACUGUUUCCUUUAAUACGACAUUUGACCAGCUCGAAAUCUUUGUCUCUUGAAGGCAAGCAAUGGAAGCAUUGGUGGACAGAAUUGUAUGUCUUACGCUGUCGCGCUUAGCAUGGUCAUUUAGCCCCCGCACGUUCCAAGAAAAAAUAGUACAUUUCGGAUUCAUAAGGUAAAAACAGCCACUCUACUUGAGACAUAUAGCUGCCAGCACACACAAAUCAGCAAGAGUCUUUGCUGAACCGAAAUAUCAGAAUCUGAAACAAUAAGCUGCCAGCGCACAACAAACAGCAGGAGACACUGCUGAACCAAAAUAACAGAAACUAGGACCAUAAAACAGUGGAAAGCAGAGCUAUGACACUAUCCAGCCCCAAGCCAUAAACUGAAAUGGCCGAGAUACAAAGGCGUGCCAGGGAGCCUAUAGCACAGCCUAGAAUCACUAAAGCUAGCAGAGGUACAACCAAGAACGGAUGGAGCGGAGCUGCGCCGAGCGAGUCUAUCCAUCUGAAGAUACAUUGUUCACCAAAAGCACCACCGACCGGCCCAGACAAAGGGCUCAGCACUCUCCCACCUCCACAGCUUUGAGGGCAGGUGUCACCUUUCUCCCUUUCUUUUUGUUCUUCGCUGUCUUCACAAUGUCUUGAUUUAUCAGCUCCAAGAUUGCCUCCAUAUGCUUCUUGGGGAGAGGUUUGUUGAAAAUACUUGCCAUCUGUUCAAGUGAAUCAUCAAAAUCAGCACGGUUAGAAGAACUAGAGCGAGUGACUUCUUUCGCUGCCGAAUUGUUAAGCUUGGCCAGUAAGAUUUUCUGGGCUUUGGAAAUAGCAUCUCGGUUAUUCCCGGACUUAAAACUUUGCUUUGCAGCGAGCCUAACACUUGACCUUUUAGUGAUGGAUUGCUUCUGAAGUUUUAAAGUAUGUCUUUUUGGUGGGGUUGAAAUCAGAGGUGGCUCCGGCGUGUGGGUAAUCUCAGCAAUGAAAUCUAGCAGUUGUGGGUGGGACUCUAAACCCAGAGCAGGUGAAGCACCCAAAGGAGCCUGAAAGUCGCUAUCAGCAGGAACAGCCUGAUCAGCAUUAGACGUGUUGCAAUCUGUAUUUUGAUUAACAAACGCAAGCUGAGGCUCUAAACACCCGGUCGGACUGUCAGUGCCCAGAUUAACACCUGGGCAGACCACCAGGGCGUUGUUUGAACAGUUUUGAAAUGUAAACAGUUCUGAAUCCUUGCUAAACUCAAUCGGUUGGGCAUCAGGUGUGUUGGCUAGGAUAGUUGUGCUCAGAUUGAGUGGGUUGCCACAAGAGGAGUGAGGCAGCACACUGUCCAAGCUAUUGUGUAUUGUGGUGAAAACAUUAGCGAGCAUGACAGUAUGAGGUACCUUGCGCGUAGAGGUAGAAGGCCUGAGCGAUGAAGUCAUGUUAACAGCGCCCAUCGAACCGGGUUUGCCUCCAACGUCUUUAGAUCUCCCAUGGCAUUCCACCAGUGGCCAAACAGCAGUAACAAUGGGGUCUGCAAAAGAGACUGUCCUAACCUUCGCCUUGGGCACCCAGCGAGAUGACGACGUCAUCCCCCAGCCAUGGCGACGAAAGGGAGUCGAGCGCCUAUGCUUGUCGUUGGAGCUGUAGCAGUCAUCCAUACCCCCCCGGCAUCGCGACGAUCACGCCCAUCCAGACAGGCUGCGAUGCCGGCGGUUACCGCUGCGUCUAUUUCUCUGAAAAUCCCCAUUAUCAUCAUCAUGAUCCCAGUCGCGGCGCACAGGCUCUCUUCCUCUGAAAUCUUCAGCACGUUCUCUUUUUUCGCCCACUGAGUCCGGGGCAUCAUAGCUCCAAACAAACUCCCUGCGCUGCUUGCGGUUAGGCGGACCCCCCCGGCUCCCCUCCCCCGAAGGAAAGAGAGGUCCUCCACCACCUCGAUGUGGUUGCGAAGAGUGUAAACAUGUCCAGGUUUCAUAUCAGCAGGAGCAUCGUGCUGAGCACCAACCAAAGUUAGGGGAGAGUUGACCGGAGGCAGCUCCCUGUCUGGCUCUAACACCGAUAGCAUGACCUCUUUAGGAAUGUCGCAAGGGUCAGCGCACCAAGCCCAGAGAUCAAAUGACCUGGUACGCUCCCUACGCCUUGUGCGCUCUUGCACAUAGUGGAUUGCACAGCUCUUGCCCAAGGCCUUUGAAGCCACUUCUUCACCCCAACAGUGCACCGGAAUCCCUUCGACCCGGACUUUAACUCUAAAUUCAAGGUUAGUCUUCCUAGCAUAGCUGUCCUCCGACCAAUCACCAAAAUGGAAAAUCCGGCCUCGAUACGAGACCGAUCUCCUGUCCAGCGCCCACUGCUUCGACCUUGGGUCCGAGAAAACGAUAAAGAAUUGCUCAGGAAAAUGCUUGACUAGCUGGUACUGACCGUGGUGCAGGUUGAACUUUUCCCUCAGCAUGUCCCCUACGGACAGAGUGUCCACCUCAUGGCUGUUGCCGUCGAAGGAGCAGACGAUGGCCUUGUCGAUCAACUCAUCUCUCCGGCGGCGUAUGGAACCGGUCGCCGAGACCGCGCAGAAAGCACGCGCAGGCCUCCCCCUAGGGUCUCCUGGGUAACGCGCCUCCAUAUCGGGUCCCUCCUGAACAGCCUGAAGGUAGGACUUCUUGAGAAUUGGGUGCAGUUGACCGCGAGGGGACUCAUGGGAAAGGGCCUGGUACUUAUGGAGGGAGUUGGACUUUGGCAGUAACUCCUGGUAGUUGGUACUCCUUGAUGAAUGCUUGGUUGGUUCAGUGUUGUAGAGCGCAGCAUUGAAUGGUCCCUGGUAGCCUUUUUGGCUGCAAGAUCUCGCCCGGUGCCCGUAUUUCAAACAGUGCCAACAGCGCGUAGGGGCCAAACAACGGAACGCGAGGUGCGCUGAUGAGAAGCAGUUGUAGCAUUUACCCUUGAGCUUCAAUUUGAAAAGACUAGUGCCUUUCUUGUCCGAUUGAAGGUUCCGUGGAGCGCCAUCAGGAUCCUGCAAGAUCUUGCGCCACCAAUGCCGCGGCCGGACAACCGACCAUCCCCCCUCAUUGACAUUUGGAGCUGCAGGGGAUGGCUGACUGCUCACACACGGUGCGGCAGGGACACCUGAUAGUCGCCUAGAGGGGGGGUGAAUAGGGCAAAACUGAAAUUUACAAAUAUAAACACAACUACAAGCCGGGUUAGCGUUAGAAAUAUAAUCGAGUCCGAGAGAGGGCGUGAAAACAAAUCGCAAGUGAAUAAUGAAGUGAGACACGCGGAUUUGUUUUACCGAGGUUCGGUUCUUUCAAACCUACUCCCCGUUGAGGAGGCCACAAAGGCCGGGUCUUUUUCAACCCUUUCCCUCUCUCAAACGGUCCCUCGGACCGAGUGAGCUUUCUCUUCUUAAAUCAACCGGGAGCACAAACUCCCCGCAAGGACCACCACACAAUUGAUGUCUCUUGCCUUGGUUACAAGUGAGUAUUGAAUCACAAGAAAGAAUGAAAGAGAGAAAGCAAUCCAAGCGCAAGAGCUCAAAUGAACACGGCAAAUCACUCUCACUAGUCACUAGGGCUUUGUGUGGAAUUGGAGAGGAUUUGAUCUCUUUGGUGUGUCUAGAAUUGAAUGCUAGAGCUCUUGUAGUAGUUGAGAAGUGGAAAACUUGGAUGCAAUGAAUGGUGGGGUGGUUGGGGUAUUUAUAGCCCCAACCACCAAAAGUGGUCGUUGGGAGACUGUCUGUUCGAUGGCGCACCGGACAGUCCGGUGCACACCGGACAGUCCGGUGCCCCCUGCCACGUCAUCACUGCCGUUGGAUUCUGACCGUUGGAGCUUCUGACUUGUGGGCCCGCCUUGGUGUCCGGUGCACACCGGACAGGUACUGUUGGCUGUCCGGUGUGCCAGCAUGGGCGAUUCUGACUCCUGCGCGCGCUGUGCGCGCAUUAAAUGCCGCAGCAGGUAGCCGUUGGCGCGAAGUAGCCGUUGCUCUAGAGUCGCACCGGACAGUCCGGUGCACACCGGACAGUCCGGUGAAUUAUAGUGGACUAGCCGUUGGAGUUUCCCGACGCUGGCGAGUUCCUGAGGCCGACCUCCCUUGGCGCACCGGACACUGUCCGGUGUACACCGGACAGUCCGGUGAAUUAUAGCCGAGUCGCCUCUGGAAAUUCCCGAAGGAGGCGAGUUUGAGUCUGAAUCCCCCUGGUGCACCGGACAUGUCCGGUGGCACACCGGACAGUCCGGUGCGCCAGACCAGGGGUGCCUUCGGUUGCCCCUUUGCUCCUUUGUUGAAUCCAAAACUUGGUCUUUUUAUUGGCUGAGUGUGAACCUUUUACACCUGUAUAAUCUAUACACUUGGGCAAACUAGUUAGUCCAAAGAUUUGUGUUGGGCAAUUCAACCACCAAAAUUAUAUAGGAACUAGGUGUAAGCCUAAUUCCCUUUCAAUCUCCCCCUUUUUGGUGAUUGAUGCCAACACAAACCAAAGCAAAUAUAGAAGUGCAUAAUUGAACUAGUUUGCAUAAUGUAAGUGUAAAGGUUGCUUGGAAUUGAGCCAAUAUAAAUACUUACAAGAUAUGCAUGGAUUGUUUCUUUCAUUUUUAACAUUUUGGACCACUUUUGCACCACAUGUUUUGUUUUGCAAAUUCUUUUGUAAGUCCAUUUCAAAGAUCUUUUGCAAAUAGUCAAAGGUAAAUAAAUAAGAGUUUGUAAAGCAUUUUCAAGAUUUGAAAAUUUCUCCCCCUGUUUCAAAUGCUUUUCCUUUGACUUAACAAAACUCCCCCUAAAUUUAGAUCCACCUCUUAGUGUUCAAGAGGGUUUUGAUAUAUCAUUUUUGAAAUACUACUUUCUCCCCCUUCUUGAACAUAAAAGAAUACCAAUUGAAAAUACUCUUUGAAAAACUAAGUUUUUGAAAUUGGUGGUGGUGCGGUCCUUUUGCUUUGGGCUCAUACUUUCUCCCCCUUUGGCAUGAAUCGCCAAAAACGGAAUCAUUAGAGCCCAUGAAGUACUAUCUUCCCCUUUGGUCAUAGUUAAAUGAGUUAAGAUUAUACCAAAGACGAAGUCCGGUCCUUUUGCUUUGGGCUCUUACUCUCUCUCCCAAAGACAAGGUCCUUUUCUUGGAGCGAUGGCGAAGGAUGAGUUACGGAGUGGAAGCCUUUGUCUUCGCCGAAGACUCCAAUUUCCUUUCAAUACACCUAUGACUUGGUUUGAGAUACACUUGAAAAACGCAUUAGUCAUAGCAUAUGAAAGAGAUAUGAUCAAAGGUAUAUAAAUGAGCUAUGUGUGCAAGUUUAGCAAAAGAAAUUUCUAGAGUCAAGAAUAUUGAGCUCAUGCCUAAGUUUGGUAAAAGAUUGUUCAUCAAGUGGCUUGGUAAAGAUAUCGGCUAAUUGAUCUUUAGUAUUAAUGUAAGAAAUCUCGAUAUCUCCCUUUUGUUGGUGAUCCCUAAGAAAAUGAUACCGAAUGGCUAUGUGCUUAGUGCGGCUAUGCUCGACGGGAUUGUCGGCCAUUUUGAUUGCACUCUCAUUAUCACAUAGCAAAGGGACUUUGGUUAAUUUGUAACCGUAGUCCCGCAGGGUUUGCCUCAUCCAAAGCAAUUGCGCGCAACAAUGACCUGCGGCAAUGUACUCGGCUUCGGCGGUGGAAAGAGCGACCGAAUUUUGCUUCUUUGAAGCCCAUGACACCAAGGAUCUUCCCAAGAACUGGCAAGUCCCCGAUGUGCUCUUUCUAUUAAUCUUACACCCCGCCCAAUCGGCAUCCGAAUAACCAAUCAAAUCAAAAGUGGAUCCCCGAGGGUACCAAAGCCCAAACUUAGGUGUGUAAGCCAAAUAUCUCAAGAUUCGUUUUACGACCGUAAGGUGGGAUUCCUUGGGGUCAGAUUGGAAUCUUGCACACAUGCAAACGGAAAGCAUAAUGUCCGGUCGAGAUGCGCAUAAAUAAAGCAAUGAACCAAUCAUCGACCGGUAUACCUUUUGAUCCACGGACUUACUCCCGUGUCGAGGUCGAGAUGCCCAUUGGUUCCCAUGGGUGUCUUGAUGGGCUUGGCAUCCUUCAUUCCAAACUUGGUUAGAAUGUCUUGAGUGUACUUCGUUUGGCUAAUGAAGGUGCCCUCUUGGAGUUGCUUUACUUGGAAUCCUAAGAAAUACUUCAACUCCCCCAUCAUAGACAUCUCGAAUUUCUUUGUCAUGAUCCUACUAAAUUCUUCACAUGUAGAUUCGUUAGUAGACCCAAAUAUAAUAUCAUCAACAUAAAUUUGGCAUACAAACAAAUCAUUGUCAAGAGUUUUAGUGAAUAAAGUAGGAUCGGCCUUGCCGACUUUGAAACCAUUAGCAAUAAGGAAAUCUCUUAGGCAUUCAUACCAUGCUCUUGGGGCUUGCUUGAGCCCAUAAAGCGCCUUAGAGAGCCUAUAAACAUGAUUAGGAUACUCACUGUCUUCAAAGCCGGGAGGUUGCUCAACAUAGACCUCCUCCUUGAUUGGUCCAUUGAGGAAGGCACUCUUCACGUCCAUUUGAUAAAGCUUGAAGCCAUGGUAAGUAGCAUAGGCUAAUAAUAUGCGAAUUGACUCAAGCCUAGCUACGGGUGCAUAGGUUUCACCGAAAUCCAAACCUUCGACUUGGGAAUAUCCCUUGGCCACAAGUCGUGCUUUGUUCCUUGUCACCACACCAUGCUCAUCUUGCUUGUUGCGGAAGACCCAUUUGGUUCCUACAACAUUUUGGUUAGGACGUGGAACCAAUUGCCAUACCUCAUUCCUUGUGAAGUUGUUGAGCUCCUCUUGCAUCGCCAUCACCCAAUCCGAAUCUUGAAGUGCUUCCUCCACCCUGUGUGGCUCAAUAGAGGAAACAAAAGAGUAAUGCUCACAAAAAUGUGCAACCCGAGAUCGAGUAGUUACCCCCUUAUGAAUGUCGCCGAGGAUGGUGUCGACGGGGUGAUCUCGUUGGAUUGCUUGGUGGACUCUUGGGUGUGGCGGUCUUGGUUCUUCCUCAUCCUCCUUUUCUUGAUCAUUUGUAUCUCCCCCUUGAUCAUUGCCAUUAUCUUGAGGUGGCUCAUCUUCUUGAUUUUGUCUUUCAUCAACUUGAGCCUCAUCCUCAUUUUGAGUUGGUGGAGAUGCUUGCGUGGAGGAGGACGGUUGAUCUUGUGCAUUUGGAGACUCUUUGGAUUCCUUAGGACAUACAUCCCCAAUGGACAUGUUCCUUAGCGCGAUGCACGGAGCCUGUUCUUCACCUAUCUCAUCAAGAUCAAUUUGCUCUACUUGAGAGCCGUUAGUCUCAUCAAACACAACGUCACAAGAAACUUCAACCAGUCCUGAGGACUUGUUAAAAACUCUAUAUGCCCUUGUGUUUGAGUCAUAUCCUAGUAAAAAGCCUUCUACAGUUUUAGGAGCAAAUUUAGAUUUUCUACCUCUUUUAACAAGAAUAAAGCAUUUGCUACCAAAAACUCUAAAAUAUGAAAUGUUGGGCUUUUUACCGGUUAGGAGUUCAUAUGAUGUCUUCUUGAGGAUUCGGUGAAGAUAUAACCGGUUGAUGGCGUAGCAGGCGGUGUUGACUGCUUCGGCCCAAAACCGGUCCGGUGUUUUGUACUCAUCAAGCAUGGUUCUUGCCAUGUCCAAUAGAGUUCGAUUCUUCCUCUCUACUACACCAUUUUGUUGUGGAGUGUAGGGGGAAGAGAACUCAUGCUUGAUGCCCUCCUCCUCAAGGAAGCCUUCAAUUUGAGAGUUCUUGAACUCCGUCCCGUUGUCGCUUCUUAUUUUCUUGAUCCUUAAGCCGAACUCAUUUUGAGCUCGUCUCAAGAAUCCCUUUAAGGUCUCUUGGGUUUGAGAUUUUUCCUGUAAAAAGAAUACCCAAGUGAAGCGAGAAUAAUCAUCCACUAUUACAAGACAAUACUUACUCCCGCCGAUGCUUAUGUAAGCAAUCGGGCCGAAUAGAUCCAUGUGGAGUAGCUCAAGCGGCCUGUCGGUCGUCAUGAUGUUCUUGUGUGGAUGAUGGGCUCCAACUUGCUUUCCCGCCUGGCAUGCGCUACAAAUCCUGUCUUUCUCAAAAUGAACAUUUGUUAAUCCUAAAAUGUGUUCUCCCUUUAGAAGCUUAUGAAGAUUCUUCAUCCCAACAUGAGCUAGUCGGCGAUGCCAGAGCCAACCCAUGUUAGUCUUAGCAAUUAAGCAUGUGUCGAGUUCAGCUCUAUCAAAAUCUACCAAGUAUAGCUGACCCUCUAACACACCCUUAAAUGCUAUUGAAUCAUCACUUCUUCUAAAGACAGUGACACCUACAUCAGUAAAAAGACAGUUGUAGCCCAUUUGACAUAAUUGGGAAACAGAAAGCAAGUUGUAAUCUAAUGAAUCAACAAGAAAAACAUUGGAAAUAGAAUGGUCAGGAGAUAUAGCAAUUUUACCAAGACCUUUGACCAAACCUUGAUUUCCAUCCCCGAAUGUGAUAGCUCGUUGGGGAUCUUGGUUUUUCUCAUAUGAGGAGAACAUCUUUUUCUCCCCAGUCAUGUGGUUCGUGCACCCGCUGUCGAGUAUCCAACUUGAGCCCCCGGAUGCAUAAACCUACAAAACAAUUUUAGUUCUUGACUUUAGGUACCCAAAUGGUUUUGGGUCCUUUGGCAUUAGACACAAGAACUUUGGGUACCCAAACACAAGUCUUUGACCCCUUGUGUUUGCCCCCAACAAACUUGGCAACUACUUUGCCGGAUUUGUUAGUAAGCACAUAAGAAGCAUCAAAAGUUUUAAAUGAAAUAGCAUGAUCAUUUGAUGCAUUAGAAAUUUUCUUUCUAGGCAACUUGGCACGGGUUGGUUGCCUAGAGCUAGAUGUCUCACCCUUAUACAUAAAAGCAUGAUUAGGGCCAGAGUGAGACUUCCUAGAAUGAAUUUUCUUAAUUUUGCUCUCAGGGUAACCGGCAGGGUAUAAAAUGUAACCCUCGUUAUCCUGAGCCAUGGGAGCCUUGCCCUUAACAAAAUUUGACAAUCUUUUAGGAGGGGCACUAAGUUUGACAUUGUCUCCCCUUUGGUAGCCAAUGCCAUCCUUAAUGCCAGGGCGUCUCCCAUUAUAAAGCAUGCUACGAGCAAAUUUAAAUUUCUCAUUCUCUAGGUUGUGCUCGGCAAUUUUAGCAUCUAAUUUUGCUAUAUGAUCAUUUUGUUGUUUAAUUAAAGCCAUAUGAUCAUGAAUAGCAUCAACAUCAACAUUUCUACAUCUAGUACAAUUAGAUACAUGUUCAACAAUAGAUGUAGAGGGUUUGCAAGAUUUUAAUUCUACAACCUUAGCAUGUAACAUAUCAUUCUUAGUUCUAAGGUCGGAAAUAAUAGCAUUGCAAACAUCAAGAUCUUUAGCCUUAACAAGCAAUUUUUCAUUUUCAAUUUUAAGGCUAGCUAGGGAAGCAUUCAACUCAUCAAUCCUAGCAAGUAAAUCAACAUUAUUAUUUCUAGGAUUUGAAGUUGAAAUAUUGCAAACAUGUGAAUCAACCUUAGCAUUUAAACUAGCAUUUUCAUUCCUAAGGUUGUCAAUCAUCUCACGGCAAGUGCUUAGCUCACUAGAUAAUUUUUCACAUUUUUCAAUUUCUAGAGCAUAAGCAUUUUUAACCUUAACAUGUUUCUUGUUUUCCUUAAUAAGGAGGUCCUCUUGGGAAUCCAAAAGGUCAUCCUUUUCAUGAAUAGCACUAACCAAUUCAUUUAAUUUUUCCUUUUGAGCUAUGUUAAGGUUGGCAAAAAGGGAACGCAAAUUAUCUUCCUCAUCACUAGCAUUGUCAUCACUAGAGGAUUCAUAUUUAGUGGAGGAUUUAGAUUUAACCUUCUUUUUGCCGUCCUUUGCCAUGAGGCACCUGUGGCCGACGUUGGGGAAGAGGAGUCCCUUGGUGACGGCGAUGUUGGCGGCGUCCUCGUCGUCGGAUGAGUCGCUUGAGCUUUCGUCGGAGUCCCACUCCCGACAAACAUGAGCAUCGCCGCCCUUCUUCUUGUAGUAUCUCUUCUUCUCCUUUCGCCUCCCCUUCUUGUCGUCACCUCGGUCACUGUCACUGGAUAUAGGACAUUUAGCAAUAAAAUGACCGGGCUUACCACACUUGUAGCAAACCUUCUUGGAGCGGGAUUUGUAAUCCUUCCCCCUCCUUUGCUUGAGGAUUUGGCGGAAGCUCUUGAUGACGAGCGCCAUUUCCUCAUUGUCGAGCUUGGAGGCGUCUAUUGGUUGUCGACUUGGUGUAGACUCCUCCUUCUUCUCCUCCGUUGCCUUGAAUGCAACGGGUUGAGCUUCGGAUGUGGUGGCAUCAUCAAGCUCGUUGAUCUUCCUCGAGCCUUCGAUCAUGCACUCAAAACUUACAAAAUUCCCGAUAACUUCCUCGGGGGUCAUUUUAGUAUAUCUAGGAUUACCACGAAUUAAUUGAACUUGAGUAGGGUUAAGGAAAAUAAGAGAUCUUAGAAUAACCUUAACCACCUCGUGGUCAUCCCACUUUACGCUCCCGAGGUUGCGCACUUGGUUCACCAAGGUCUUGAGCCGAUUGUACAUGUGUUGUGGCUCCUCCCCUUUGCGAAGCCGGAACCGACCGAGCUCCCCCUCAAUCGUUUCCCGCUUGGUGAUCUUGGUGAGCUCAUCACCUUCGUGCGCGGUCUUGAGUAAAUCCCAAAUCUCCUUUGCGUUCUUCAACCCUUGAACUUUGUUAUACUCCUCCUACUCAAAGAGGCUAGGAGUAUUGUUGUUGCUUGAGAGUUGAAGUGCUCGAUUUGGGCCACCUCAUCCUCAUCAUAGCCCUCAUCCCCUACGGACGGUACCUGCGCACCAAACUCAACAACAUCCCAUAUACUUUUGUGGAGCGAGGUAAGAUGAAAUCGCAUUAAAUCGCUCCACCUUGCAUAAUCUUCAUCAUCAAAAGUUGGUGGUUUGCCUAAUGGGACGGAAAGUAAAGGUGUAUGUUUGGAAAUGCGAGGGUAAUGUAGGGGGAUCUUACUAUAUUUCUUGCGCUCUUGGCGCUUAGAAGUGACGGAUGCCGCGUCGGAGCCGGAGGUAGAUGUCGAUGAAGUGUCGGUCUCGUAAUAGACGACUUUCCUCAUCCUCUUGUGUUUGUCCCCACUCCGACGUGGCUUGUGGGAAGAAGAUUUCUCCCUCCUCUCCUUGUGAUGAGAAGAAGACUUCUUCUCCUUCCCUUUGUUGGAGGAGCUCUUCUUCUUCUCCUUCCUCUUGGUGCGGGACUCUUCCGAUGAAGUGCUCCCGUGGCUUGUAGUGGGCUUUUCGCCGGUCUCCAUCUCCUUCUUGGCGUGAUCUCCCGACAUCACUUCGAGCGGUUAGGCUCUAAUGAAGCACCGGGCUCUGAUACCAAUUGAUAGUCGCCUAGAGGGGGGGUGAAUAGGGCAAAACUGAAAUUUACAAAUAUAAACACAACUACAAGCCGGGUUAGCGUUAGAAAUAUAAUCGAGUCCGAGAGAGGGCGUGAAAACAAAUCGCAAGUGAAUAAUGAAGUGAGACACGCGGAUUUGUUUUACCGAGGUUCGGUUCUUUCAAACCUACUCCCCGUUGAGGAGGCCACAAAGGCCGGGUCUUUUUCAACCCUUUCCCUCUCUCAAACGGUCCCUCGGACCGAGUGAGCUUUCUCUUCUUAAAUCAACCGGGAGCACAAACUCCCCGCAAGGACCACCACACAAUUGAUGUCUCUUGCCUUGGUUACAAGUGAGUAUUGAAUCACAAGAAAGAAUGAAAGAGAGAAAGCAAUCCAAGCGCAAGAGCUCAAAUGAACACGACAAAUCACUCUCACUAGUCACUAGGGCUUUGUGUGGAAUUGGAGAGGAUUUGAUCUCUUUGGUGUGUCUAGAAUUGAAUGCUAGAGCUCUUGUAGUAGUUGAGAAGUGGAAAACUUGGAUGCAAUGAAUGGUGGGGUGGUUGGGGUAUUUAUAGCCCCAACCACCAAAAGUGGCCGUUGGGAGGCUGUCUGUUCGAUGGCGCACCGGACAGUCCGGUGCACACCGGACAGUCCGGUGCCCCCUGCCACGUCAUCACUGUCGUUGGAUUCUGACCGUUGGAGCUUCUGACUUGUGGGCCCGCCUUGGUGUCCGGUGCACACCGGACAGGUACUGUUGGCUGUCCGGUGUGCCAGCAUGGGCGAUUCUGACUCCUGCGCGCGCUGUGCGCGCAUUAAAUGCCGCAGCAGGUAGCCGUUGGCGCGAAGUAGCCGUUGCUCUGGAGUCGCACCGGACAGUCCGGUGCACACCGGACAGUCCGGUGAAUUAUAGUGGACUAGCCGUUGGAGUUUCCCGACGCUGGCGAGUUCCUGAGGCCGACCUCCCUUGGCGCACCGGACACUGUCCGGUGUACACCGGACAGUCCGGUGAAUUAUAGCCGAGUCGCCUCUGGAAAUUCCCGAAGGAGGCGAGUUUGAGUCUGAAUCCCCCUGGUGCACCGGACAUGUCCGGUGGCACACCGGACAUGUCCGGUGGCACACCGGACAGUCCGGUGCGCCAGACCAGGGGUGCCUUCGGUUGCCCCUUUGCUCCUUUGUUGAAUCCAAAACUUGGUCUUUUUAUUGGCUGAGUGUGAACCUUUUACACCUGUAUAAUCUAUACACUUGGGCAAACUAGUUAGUCCAAAGAUUUGUGUUGGGCAAUUCAACCACCAAAAUUAUAUAGGAACUAGGUGUAAGCCUAAUUCCCUUUCAACACCUCUAGCACGGCGAUGGGACAGCACACAGCCAGAAUUCAAAGCCCCCUCCGUCUUGUAGGGGAAUUGGUAGCCCGGCGAGCAGACUGCCUCACUAUCGGACGAAUCAGUCGCUGGGAGACGCGGCAAUGAAGGCAGAGAUUGCGGAUCUUGAACGGGUCCAACGCCGCCCGCGGCAUACCAGAGCGGAUCAGGAUGCAGAGUGACUGGGAGGGGGGGAUCUUGAACGCGAUUGGGAGGAUCCAAACCGCUCAGAGGCCGUGAGAUUGGGGAAGCACUUACCGGAUCUGGACGAGAGCAGUCCUGGGGGCGGGGCCCCGAGCACACCGAGCAGACCGCGGAGGAAUGGGGACCCUCCCCCACCGGAGACGGGGGGCCGAGGAUACCGGCGGCGCCACUCGCCCCCAGAGUCGCCAAUCGCUCACGCGGCGCCAUUUUCCGCUUUCCGCCUCAUAGCAGCCCUGAGAAGAAGCUUAGCCAUCUCAAAACUCAUCCCUAAGCUAAUUUGUUAAAACAUGAUGAUUUAUUGAAGUAUAGUCUUUCUAAUAUGACCCACUGAUCCUCUGAUUUGUUUUUUUCCCUUGCUUCUGCAAGCAUCCGACAAAUAUUUCUUAGGCGGCAGUGUCUAAAACACUGCAUUAGUAACUUAGAACCCUAUCAGCUAUCGAGCACGGAAUGGAUUGGGUGGGUGUGGGGAGGAGAUGAAGUCUCUAGAUUGCGCAUAUGGUCGUAUAAAAAACUAUUUUUUAAUAUUGAUGAUAUAAUUUAUAUAGUGCAUUUUGAAAUAGGAAAUGAGGUAAGAAAGACUACCGUAUAUAGGCGGGUCCCGUUCACGUUCUGAGAAAGUUGUCUCUCUAGCCUAAUCAGACUCCGAGCAAAAUUUGAUCGGUUGUGUCUAGGUCUUGUCGCUGAUCCCCAGGGAGCAACUACAAAAAAAAAAACUCUUGUUUCAGCGUAUGAUUAAACGGUGCAGGGUGGAGUGGAUGGCUGGCAACGAAAAAGAAGGUGGACACUUGAGUUCGAAUAAUUUGUCCCAGCGUAAUGUUCCAAUAGGAUCAUAUACUGCAGCUACCAGCAUUUCAAUUCGUAUUUAAAAUCCAACAUGUUUAUUUGUCUUUAAUUUGUACCGACUUCUAUUAUUUACAUAGUAUUUAUUUUUAUACAUUAUAGUUGCAGCAAGUCGAACAGCUGACUUCAAUACGAAUUAUUCCCGUAUCGUCCGAACAUGAUACAUUUCCUCCGAGCCACACCGCCUGCCACCCGUGUAUGCGCAUCCCAUCCAUCGCGCACAGAAGAUCCCAACAUAUAUAUAUGCAUCUCUUCUGCUGGCCGCACUCGCAACUUGCGUUCAGUGAUGACGACAAUAGGGUCACCGGUGACGCGGCGGCUCACCCCGACCCCCGUCGUCAGUGCCGUCACGCAGUAGAAAAUAGACGCGGCGCGAAGAUUCGUGGCGUUUGCGCGCCGCGAGCCUUUCCGCCGGCGACCGGGGCGGACGUGGACGUGCGCAGCCGUCCGUCGACACUACUCGGCGGCACCUCGCCGUUGCCGGGAAGAAUCCAGGACAGGUCGGGAUUCCACUGCAGACUGCAGACCCUACGUUGAGGCCGCACGAGAUUGAUUCCCGAUUGGUGGGGAGGAGAGAAAGCGGCAAAGCAAGCGCGAUGCUCAGCGGGCGAUAAAGGAGAAUAAUACUAACGAUAAUAAUGCUGUAGAUAACCUGGCGGCUGUUGUGCAGUUGGCUGGCUCCUGGUUCUGGCCUGGGGCCAAAAUCCUUCGGGCUGAUUUGGUGCUAAGGGAUCCCAAGGGGAUCCAUGGGGGAGGAAUCCCCUUGUUAUUCAAAAUUGAAUUGCAAGGGGAUUUCUCCCCCAUGGAUCCCCUUGGGAUCCCUUGCCACCAAAUUAGCCCUUCGGGGGGGUCAAAUGCUCGCCACGAGGACGAGGGUCGGGUCGCUUUACGAAUUACGUACGCCCUGAGCGGUGGUUGCGUUCGUCUUUUGCGAACACAUAGCUUUCAUAAUUUACGGCGACAAAAGGACGGGAAAUCAUCGAAGAACAGGAAAAUCCUCCAAAACCUCUACAGGCUUGUUCAUUUGAUCUAUGCGUUCGUCUUUUGUCUCACCCGCCGCACUUGUUGUCCGGCCGGCGUCGGUUUAGCGCCGAACACGGACUGCAAUGCUUCGAAACUGUGCUGUGCUGAGCAUGCUCCCUGUGGGUUGGAUUGGACAGGACAGUCCCCAACGCUUGACCAACACUAUCUGGGCUUGCACGACAUUUGUCUUGUGUAUUCAAAUGCUCUUCUUUGAGAGACAUUCGCUUUGUACUAAAGCAGAGGAAGCCUCAUUUCUUCUUCUUCUUCUUCUUUUCAUUUAAAAAGGAAAGUUUGUAGGUUGAACGCGGACUGCAAUGCUUCGAAACUGUGCUGCUGAGCAUGCUCCCUGUGGGUUGGAUUGGACAGGACAGUCCCCAACGCUUGACCUAUCUGGGCUUGCACGACAGUUGGCUUCGUGUUAUCGUGUAUUCAAAUGCUCUUCUUUGAGAGACAUUUGCUUUGUACUAAAGCAGAGGAAGCCUUAUUAUUUCUUCUUCUUCUUCUUUUCAUUGAAAAAGGAAAGUUUAUAUAUAGGUCGAAUUAUGUAGAGACCACAAAAGAAUGGAUGAUGUUUUUUUGUUUUUGUUUUGAAAAAAAAGGUGAAUGGACGCUAUUAACUGGUGCAGCAGUUUGCCCAGCCAGUCAAAAUCACGGCACCUAUAGUGCUCUCCCAUUAUGGACCUCAAUCACGUGCACGUGAGACGGGGACGACUUGGUCUGUUUGGUUUAGCUUUUUUCUAACCAGCUUUUCUGAAAAUCUGGCUGUGUGGAGAAUCUGACUGUGGGGAGAAUCUGAGUAUCAUUACGAUUACGUGUGGAGGAAGAUAAAGUUGUUCAUAGGGCUCAGGAUCUAGAAAGUGACGGAUUCCUACUAUUACAACGACUCAACCGAUUAUGUGUUUAUGUUGAUUUUGGAUGAUUUUUGCCCCAACGAAUUUUAUAGAAGCUGACUGAAAAGCUGGGCGUUUGGCAGUCCGCAACAGCUUUUGAUGGCCAGAAGCCGCCAGAAGCUGAAACAAACAGGGCCCAUGUAUCUCGACUUGCACAACGGCACAGCUUCUCAAAUUCGUGUCCGACCCGUGUGGCGCUCGCUUGCACUUUCGUUAAGUGGCUACGGUUUUUUUUUCUCGUGAUCUUCUGAGUGGUGCUUACGACACGCCGUGUGCAUGCAUGUUGUCUCCACUGCUAUCUUGGUCGCCUCUACCGUCCAUGCUGUGACGGAGACGCGAUCCAAGCUAUCAGUGUCAGGCGGGCAAUUAAGCCAAACGAGACGUGACAAACCAGCGGUCUCGAUUGCUUUAGCAGCAGCUUGUCAUGCAUGUGGGACGUGGAUGAAACGGGAGGCCCAUAUUGGCUCUCUACUUCUUUAUUUUAGGAACACGGAAACUUGUGCGGUCCUUGUGGCGAGUUUCAUGCCAUGUAGGCAUGGAGAGGCCUAUGAAGGCAAUUGUAUUAAAUCUAUAUUUAUUACAUAUACCACUAAAUAAUCUAGCAGUUUAAACCAUCCCAACCAAAUCAUUCCUACGCUCAUAACCUCCACUAAAUUUAUCAAAUUAAUUGUACUCAUAUUUAACACCUUUAAAAUCAAUAGCUAAGAUCGCUAUAUAAAUCACUCCAGCUUACUCACUAGAAUCCAAUGAACAAUAUUAUUUGGAUCAACUCUCUGUCCCCAAUUUCAUGGUGCAAAACCGACGGUUACGUAUGUCCUUUUGUGGAUGAAAAAGGAUAUUCUGCAUGAUGUACGUAGUAGUCAUAAAAUGAAAAAGAAUAUUCUGAUGAAAAAUGAUAUUAAUUUUUUUCGAAAAGAGAAAUUCUUCUUGGUCAGGAAAUGAUUCGGUUCUAUCAUGAUACCUGAUGACGUACGUACCAGUCAUCCAAAGCUAGAAAGGGAAAACAUGGAAACGAUCUUAUACUCAGCGUCGAGCGAGGCCCAGACCCGGUACGACCCAGCACGACCCAACAGCAGACAUGCCGGCACGGUAAACCAUGUUUCACAGGCCGUGCUUGAGGAGCCCACUUACUUGGGUGAUGGUCCAAGCACGAUCCUUUGGCCUGGUUUUCGUGUCGAGCUGGCCCGCUGGACACGGUAUAAAAAAUGGGUCGUGCCAGCUCGAAGCCCGACAUGUUUAAUUACACCAUAAAAAAUAGCAACAAAUAAAUAUAGGAUAGUAUAAUGAAUAAGCUAUUUUGUGCAAUUCUGCCUCAUUAAAAACAUUUUUAGGUAAAACUCACCCUUGUGAGAAACCCUAGAAAGGAAAAAAAAGAGUGCAACCAGCUCAAAGUUUAGUCACUAAGUUUAUAUCUGUUACAGAUGAAGAUUACAAUACAAAAUCUCUCUCUCACACACACAUUGACAAAGCACAGAACAAAUCGCCACACCAGAGUCUAGAACUAAGUAGUAAGUACCAAAAUCACAAAGCAGCAGCAUGUUCAUCUUCGUCGAGGAAUGAGUCCUCAAGCUCUCGGUUGUCAACAACAUGUUGCUCUCUCUUUUCUUCUAAUUCCCAAUCUUUUAAGCAAGUCAGCAUCUCCACAUUCUCAGGCAAUAAGAGUCGUCGUCGCUCCUCAAUUAUCCUCCCUGUCAAACUCAAACAACGCUCUGAAGAGACAGUAGACACAGGAACAGACAUUCACUUUCUCAAAGAUCUCAUCAAAAUCAACCCAGACACUAGAUUUACGCUUAUCAACCAAUGAGGUACCAGUACCACCAGCGGUGCUGGUGGAGCCGGCCGAAGUGUCGGUGGCCGUCACAGGCCCUCCCCCACCGUCGCCCGGAGCAGAGCUUAGAUCGUCCGGAGCAGAGGUUAGAUCGGUACCAAGCAAGGCAGCAACAUCUUCCUGGAUGUCGUCUUCGUCAUCUGGGACAAGCCCUGCCACGCGAAGGUCGUCGUUCCCGGUGAGCGGAUAGACAUCGUCAUCAUCCGCCAUGGCGACCUUCACCGCGGACGACCGAUCUCCAGCACCGUUCCUUAACGAUGCACGUAGUCGUCGUGCCCGAUCUACCCUAGAGGAGGAAGACGAGGCAUCAUCAACUGACCUACGCAAAAGAGCAAAACAAUCCAGGGUUAGGGUUUACAAAUGACACAAGUGAGAUAUAAGGUUAGGGUUAGGGUUUACCUAUGCUACUGGAGCCCGAUGCCGGAGAAUACGGGGGCCACCUAGACGACAGACAGACACCGAUUAGAGACGACGGUGAGCGGGGAGGGGAGGACUAGACGACAACACGAACUCAUAUAAUUCACCGAGAGAGAGGGGAGAGAUGAGCUGGUGUUGGAUCGAGGUCACCGGCGUCGGGGACGGGAACCAAGGGCACUGAGGUCACCAUAUCGGGCCGGUGCCGCGGCGGAGGAGCCAAGAUGGGAAUCGCUGAGUCGGGGAGAGAGGGUUUAGGUCGGGUCGAGUGCGAGUGACCGAGUGGAAGACUGGAGAUCGACGAUUGAGGGCGAGGGGGCGAGGGGAUGAGGGGUGGGAGAUCGACAGGCCUCUACGGGCGGUCAUGGUGGGAGCAGGACAUGUCGUCCGGCCCACGUGCCUGGCUUUCGACCUAAGCAUGACCUGCUCCACUGGACCGUGCUAGCCCAGACCCGUCACUCCCGUGUCGGGCCGGGCGUGGACCGGGCCAAAAAAGGGCCUCGGGCCGGGUCAACGGGCUCGUGCUUCAUGUACAACUAUAGCCACUGGGAAUGCGGGAAGCUGUGUUUCCGCGAAUACAGGCGAGUGAGUAAAAAACCUACGUGCACGCGUGGGUGUAGGUUGCCUCCAUUAACUGCAGCCAGCCAAACACGCCCGCACCACGGUCAACGUGACGCCGUGAGCCUAGGCAUAGCCAACCAAUCAAUCGAUCACGAGGAUACUAAUCAUGAAGGUAGGUACAUGUCGGCCUUACCUAUGUUGUUUGCAUGACAUUUGCUAUGAUUGGUCCUGUAUUGGGUGGUCGUGUUUGUUACUUUAGGUUGAUGCAAACCAUUCAUCCAGUACAUGAUUGUGGACACUAUACACCGCUGGAUUGGAUUCUCGAUUUUUUUUCUGCGAUGUCGUUUGGACAGUGUGGAGGCACUACACAAAAUGGAGGAACUUUGUGCGGCUUGAGUUAUUUUUUGGCGGCUCAUUUACAAGCCAUCGAAAAUCAGUUUAUUUUCGACGAUCGAUAUCAUAUCAUAAAAAAUAAAUUUAUUAUUUUCGAUGACUAUACGUAGUUGUUGAACCAGCUCAAAGUUUAGUCAUUAAGUUUAUAUCUGUUACAGAUGAAGAUUACAAUACAAAAUCUCUCUCUCACACACACAUUGACAAAGCAUAGAACAGAUCGCCACACCAGAGUCUAGAACUAAGUAGUAAGUACCAAAAUCACAAAGCAGCACCAUGUUCAUCUUCGUCAAGGAAUGAGUCCUCAAGCUCUCGGUUGUCAACAAAAUGUUGCUCUCUCUUUUCUCCUAAUUCCCAAUCUUUUAAGCAAGUCAGCAUCUCCACAUUCUCAGGCAAUAAGAGUCGUCGUCGCUCCUCAAUUAUCCUCCCUGUCAAUCUCAAACAAGGCUCUGAAGAGACAGUAGACACAGGAACAGACAUUCACUUUCUCAAAGAUCUCAUCAAAAUCAACCCAGACACUAGAUUUACGCUUAUCAACUGAAAGGGAAUUAGACUUACACCUAUUUCCUAAUUGAUUUUGGUGGUUGAGUUGUCCAACACAAAUAAUUGGACUAACUAGUUUGCUCUAGUCUAUAAGUUCUAUAGGUGCCAAAGGUUCACAAUAAGCCAAUAAAAAGACCAAGAAAGGGUUCAAACAAAGAGAGCAAAAGACAUCCCGAAAGGCACCCUGGUCUGGCGCACCGGACAGUGUCCGGUGCACCAGGGCACUCGAUGCUGAACUCGCUACCUUCGGGAAAAUCAGAGGGCGCUCCGCUAUAAUUCACCGGACUGUCCGGUGAAGCACACGACAAUGUCUGGUGCCACACCGGACUGUCUGGUGCGCCAGCGGAGCAACGGCUACUUCGCGCGCAACGGUCGACUGCAACUCAUUUAAUGCGCGCCUGCGCGCGCAGAGGUUAGAGCACGCGCAGUUGGCGCACCGGGCAGUCUACAGGACCUGUCCGGUGCACCACCGGACAGCCCAGAGGCCCCACAAGUCAGAGCUCCAACGGUCGAACCCCAACGGUUUGCUGGCGUGGCUGGCGCACCGGACUGUCCGGUGCGCCAUGCGACAGCAGCCUUCCAAAGGCCAUAUUUUGGUGGUUGGGGGCUAUAAAUACCCCAACCACCCCACAUUCAAUGGCACCCAAGUUUCUACACUUCUACACCUUACAAGAGCUAUAGCAUUCAAUACAAGACACACCAAAGAGAUCAAAUCCUCUCCCAACUCCACAAAAAGCUUUAGUGAUUAGAGAGAGAGAUUCGUUGUGUUCAUUUGAGCUCUUGCGCUUGGAGUGCUUCUUUUCUUUCUCAUUCUUCUUGUGAUCAAACUCAAUUGUAACCAAGGCAAGAACACCAAUUGUGUGGUGGUCCUUGCGGGAACUUUGUGUUUCGUUUGAUUGAGAAGAGAAGCUCACUCGGUCUAAGUGACCGAUUUGAGAGAGGGAAAGGGUUGAAAGAGACCCGGUCUUUGUGACCACCUUAACGGGGAGUAGGUUUGCAAAAACCGAACCUCGGUAAAACAAAUCAUCGUGUCUCGCUCUUUAUUUGCUCAUGAUUUGUUUUGCACCCUCUCUCUCGGACUCGUUUAUAUUUCUAACGCUAACCCGACUUGUAGUUGUGCUUAAGUUUGUAAAUUUCAGAUUCGCCCUAUUCACCCCCCCCCUCUAGGCGACUUUCAAUUGGUAUCGGAGCCUGGCGCUUCAUUAGAGCCUAACCGCUCGAAGUGAUGUCGGGAGCAUCCGCCAUGAGGGAUCUCGGGACCGGCGACAAGACCGCAAGCUCGGGAAGAACACACUCAAGGGAUUCCGCCUACAAGCACAAGGAGGAAUCCUCUUCCUCCAUCAAGUCCCAUCGGAUGGGUGACAAGAAGAAGAAGAUGAGGAAAGUGGUCUACUACGAGACCGACUCUUCGUCACCCUCCACCUCCGGCUCGGAAUCGGCCUCCACCACUUCAAAGCGCCAUGAGCGCAAGAAAUAUAGUAAGAUGCCCCUUCGCUAUCCUCGCAUUUCUAGACGCACUCCAUUACUCUCUGUUCCAUUAGGUAAACCACCUAUGUUUGAAGGUGAAGAUUAUUCUAUGUGGAGUGAUAAAAUGAGGCAUCACCUAACCUCACUCCACAAAAGCAUAUGGGAUAUUGUUGAGUAUGGAGUGCAGGUACCAAAGAAGGGAGACAAGGAUUUCGAAUCGGAGGAGGUCGAACAAAUCCAACACUUCAACUCCCAAGCCACGACUAUACUCCUCGCCUCUCUAAGUCGAGAGGAGUAUAAUAAGGUGCAAGGGUUGAAGAGUGCAAAGGAGAUUUGGGACGUGCUAAAAACCGCACACGAAGGAGACGAGGUAACCAAGAUCACCAAGCGGGAGACGAUCGAGGGGGAGCUCGGUCGCUUCCGGCUUCGCCAAGGGGAGGAGCCACAAGAUAUGUACAACCAGCUCAAGACCUUGGUGAACCAAGUGCGCAACCUCGGGAGCAAAAAAUGGGAUGACCAUGAAAUGGUUAAGGUUAUUCUUAGAUCACUUGUGUUCCUUAACCCUACGCAAGUUCAAUUAAUUCGUGGUAAUCCUAGAUAUACACUAAUGACUCCCGAGGAAGUAAUAGGAAACUUUGUGAGCUUUGAGUUGAUGAUCAAAGACUCAAAGAAAAUUACCGAGCACGACGGCCCCUCCACGCCCGAAGCACAUCUGGUCGCAUUCAAGGCGACGGAGGAGAAGAAAGAGGAGUCUACAUCAAGUAGACAACCCAUCGACGCCUCUAAGCUCGACAAUGAGGAAAUGGCGCUCAUCAUCAAGAGCUUCCGCCAAAUCCUCAAACAAAGGAAGAGAAAGAUUACAAGCCUCGUUCCAAGAAGGUGUGCUACAAGUGUGGUAAGUCCGGUCAUUUCAUUGCUAAAUGUCCUUUAUCUAGUGAUAGUGACAGGGGCGACAACAAGAAGGGCAAGAGGAGAGAAAAGAGGAGGUAUUACAAGAAGAAGGGUGGCGAUGCCCAUGUAUGCCGCGAGUGGGACUCCGACGAGAACUCCUCUGACUCCUCAUCCGACGAGGACGCCACCAACAUCGCCGUCACCAAGGGACUCCUCUUCCCCAACGUCGGCCACAAGUGCCUCAUGGCAAAGGACGGCAAAAGGAAGAAGGUAAAAUCAUAAUCCUCCACUAAAUAUGAAACCUCUAGUGAUGAGGAUAAUGCUAGUGAUGAGGAAGAUAAUUUGCGUAUCCUUUUUGGCAACCUAAACAUGCAACAAAAAGAAAAAUUAAAUGAACUAAUUAGUGCUAUUCAUGAGAAGGAUGAACUCUUGGACACCCAAGAGGACUUCCUAAUUAAAGAAAAUAAGAAGCAUGUUAAGGUUAAAAAUGCUUAUGCUCUAGAACUAGAAAAAUGUGAAAAAUUAUCUAGUGAGCUAAGCACUUGCCAUGAUGUUAUUACCAACCUUAGAAAUGAGAAUGCUAGUUUAAUUACUAAGGUUAAUUCAAAUGUUUGUGAUGUUUCAACCUCCAAUCUUAGAGAUGAUAAUGUUAACUUAUUUGCUAAGAUUGAAGAAUUGAAUGUCUCUCUUGCUAGCCUUAGAAAUGAUAAUGAAAAAUUAAUUGCUAAGGCUAAAGAGUUAGAUGUUUGCAAUGUUACAAUUUCCAAUCUUAGAAGUGAAAAUGACAUAUUACAUGCUAAGAUUGUUGAACUAAAAUCUUGCAAACCCUCUACAUCUACCACUGAGCAUGUUUCCAUUUGCACUAUAUGUAGAGACAUUAAUGUUGAUGCUAUUCAUGAUCACCUAGCUUUAAUUAAGAAACAAAAUGAUCACAUAGCUCAACUUAAUGCUAAAAUUAAUGAGCAUGACUUAGAAAAUGAAAAUUUUAAAUUUGCUAGAAGCAUGCUCUAUAGUGGGAGACGCCCUGGCAUCAAGGAUGGCAUUGGCUUCCAAAAGGGGGACAAUGUCAAACUUAAUGCCCCUCCUAAAAGAUUGUCUAACUUUGUUAAGGGCAAGGCUCUCAUGCCUCAGGAUAACGAGGGUUACAUUUUGUACCCUGCCGGUUAUCCCGAGAGCAAAAUUAGGAGAAUUCAUUCUAGGAAGUCUCACUCUGGCCCUAAUCAUGCUUUUAUGUAUAAGGGUGAGACAUCUAGCUCUAGGCAAUCAACCCGUGCAAAAUUGCCUAACAAGAAAACUCCUACUGCAUCAAAUGAUCAUAAUAUUUCAUUCAAAACUUUUGAUGCAUCUUAUGUUUUAACUAACAAAUCCGGCAAGAUAGUUGCCAAGUAUGUUGGGGGCAAACACAAGGGAUCAAAGACUUGUGUUUGGGUACCCAAAGUUCUUGUAUCUAAUGUCAAAGGACCCAAAACCAUUUGGGUACCUAAAGUCAAGAACUAAACUUGUUUUGUAGGUUUAUGCAUCCGGGGGCUCAAGUUGGAUCAUCGAUAGCGGGUGCACAAACCACAUGACAGGGGAGAAAAAGAUGUUCUCCUCCUACGAGAAAAACCAAGAUCCCCAACGAGCUAUCACAUUCGGGGAUGGAAAUCAAGGUCUGGUCAAAGGAUUGGGUAAAAUUGCUAUAUCUCCUGACCACUCCAUUUCCAAUGUUUUUCUUGUAGAUUCUUUAUAUUACAAUUUGCUUUUCGUUUCUCAAUUAUGCAAAAAGGGCUACAACUGUCUUUUUACAGAUACAGGUGUUACUGUCUUUAGAAGAAGUGAUGAUUCAAUAGCAUUUAAGGGAGUGUUAGAGGGUCAGCUAUACUUAGUAGAUUUUGAUAGAGCUGAACUCGACACUUGCUUAAUUGCUAAGACUAACAUGGGCUGGCUCUGGCAUCGCCGACUAGAACAUGUUGGAAUGAAGAAUCUUCAAAAGCUUCUAAAGGGAGAACACAUUUUGGGACUACCAAAUGUUCAUUUUGAGAAAGGCAGGAUUUGUAGCGCAUGUCAGGCAGGGAAGCAAGUUGGUGUUCAUCAUCCACACAAGAACAUCAUGACGACUGACAGGCCACUCGAGCUCCUACACAUGGACCUAUUCGGCCCGAUAGCUUACAUAAGCAUCGGCGGGAGUAAGUACUGUCUAGUUAUUGUGGAUGAUUAUUCUCACUUCACUUGGGUGUUCUUUUUGAAAGAAAAUCUCAUACCCAAGAGACCUUAAAGGGAUUCUUGAGACGGGCUCAAAACGAGUUCAGCUUAAGGAUCAAGAAAAUUAGAAGCGACAACGGGACGGAGUUCAAGAACUCACAAAUCGAAGGCUUCCUUGAGGAGGAGGGCAUCAAGCAUGAGUUCUCUUCUCCCUACACGCCACAACAAAAUGGUGUAGUGGAGAGGAAGAAUCGAACUCUAUUGGACAUGGCAAGAACCAUGCUUGAUGAAUACAAGACUUCAGAUCGGUUUUGGGCCGAGGCGGUCAACACCGCUUGCUACGCCAACAACCGGUUGUAUCUACACUGAAUCCUCAAGAAGACAUCAUACGAACUCCUUACCGGUAAAAAGCCCAAUGUUUCAUAUUUUAGAGUCUUUGGUAGCAAAUGCUUUAUUCUUGUUAAAAGAGGAAGAAAAUCUAAAUUUGCUCCUAAGGCUGUAGAAGGCUUUUUACUAGGAUAUGAUUCAAACACAAGGGCAUAUAUAGUCUUUAACAAGUCAUCUGGACUAGUUGAAGUUUCUUGCGACAUUGUGUUUGAUGAGACUAACGGCUCUCAAGUAGAGCAAGUUGAUCUUGAUGAGAUAGGUGAUGAAGAGGCUCCGUGCGUCGCGCUAAGGAACAUGUCUAUUGGGGAUGUGUGUCCUAAGGAAUCCGAAGAGCCUCCACAGACACAAGAUCAACCAUCUUCCUCAAUGCAAGCAUCUCCACCAACUCAUGAUAAGGAUGAGGCUCAAAAUGAUGAAGGAGAAGAUCAAGGAGUUGAGCCACCUCAAGAGGAGAGCAAUGAUCAAGGGGGAGGUGCCCAUGAUCAAGAUGAGGAAGAUGAACAAGUUCCAAGACCGCCACACCCAAGAGUCCAUCAAGCAAUCCAACGAGAUCACCCCGUGAACACCAUCCUCGGUGAUAUUCAAAAGGGGUAACUACUCGAUCUCGUGUUGCUCAUUUUUAUGAACAUUACUCUUUUGUUUCCUCUAUCGAGCCACACAGGGUAGAGGAAGCACUACAAGAUUCAGAUUGGGUGGUGGCGAUGCAAGAGGAGCUCAACAACUUCACUAGGAAUGAGGUAUGGCAUUUAGUUCCACGUCCUAACCAAAAUGUUGUAGGAACCAAGUGGGUCUUCCGCAACAAGCAAGAUGAGCAUGGUGUGGUGACAAGGAACAAAGCCCGACUUGUGGCCAAGGGAUACUCACAAGUCGAAGGUUUGGAUUUCGGUGAAACCUAUGCACCCGUAGCUAGGCUUGAAUCAAUUCGCAUAUUACUUGCCUAUGCUACUUACCAUGGCUUUAAGCUUUACCACAUGGACGUGAAAAGUGCCUUCCUCAAUGGACCAAUCAAGGAAGAGGUCUAUGUUGAGCAACCUCCCGGCUUUGAAGACAGUGAGUACCCUAACUAUGUUUACAAACUCUCUAAGGCGCUUUAUGUGCUCAAGCAAGCCCUAAGAACAUGGUAUGAAUGCCUAAGAGAUUUUCUUAUCACUAAUGGCUUCAAAGUCGGAAAGGCCGAUCCUACUUUAUUUACUAAAACUCUUGACAAUGAUUUGUUUGUAUGCCAAAUUUAUAUUGAUGAUAUUAUAUUUGGGUCUACUAACGAAUCUACAUGUGAGGAAUUUAGUAGGAUCAUGACACAAAAAUUCGAGAUGUCUAUGAUGGGGGAGUUGAAAUACUUCUUAGGAUUUCAAGUGAAGCAACUCCAAGAGGGCACCUUCCUUAGCCAAACAAAGUAUAUUCAAGUCAUUCUAAACAAGUUUGGGAUGAAGGCUGCCAAACCCAUCAAGACACCCAUGGGAACCAAUGGGCAUCUCGACCUCGACACAGGAGGUAAAUCCGUCGAUCAAAAGGUAUACCGGUCGAUGAUAGGCUCUUUACUCUAUUUAUGUGCAUCUCGACCGGAUAUUAUGCUUUCCGUAUGCAUGUGUGCAAGAUUCCAAGCCGCCCCUAAGGAAGCUCACCUUACGACCGUAAAACGAAUCUUGAGAUAUUUAGUUCAUACUCCAAAGUUUGGGCUUUGGUACCCUCGGGGAUCCACAUUUGAUUUAAUUGGUUAUUCGGAUGCCGAUUGGGCAGGGUGUAAAAUCAAUAGAAAGAGCACAUCGGGGACUUGCCAGUUCUUGGGAAGAUCUCUGGUGUCUUGGGCUUCAAAGAAACAAAAUUCUGUAGCCCUUUCUACCGUCGAAGCCGAGUAUAUUGCCGCAGGUCAUUGUUGCGCGCAACUACUUUGGAUGAGGCAAACCCUUAGGGACUAUGGUUACAAAUUAACCAAAGUUCCUCUUCUAUGUGAUAAUGUGAGUGCAAUCCGCAUGGCGGAUAAUCCCGUUGAGCAUAGCCGCACUAAACACAUAGCCAUUCGAUAUCAUUUUCUAAGGGAUCACCAACAAAAAGGGGAUAUCGAUAUUGCAUAUAUUAACACUAAGGAACAAUUAGCCGAUAUCUUUACCAAGCCCCUAGAUGAACAAACUUUUAACAAACUUAGGCACGAGCUAAAUAUUCUUGAUUCUAGGAAUUUCUUUUGAUGUCUUGCAUACAUAGCUCAUUAAUAUACCUUUGAUCAUAUCCCUUUUAUAUGCUAUGACUAAUGUGUUUUCAAGUAUAUUUCAAACCAAGUCAUAGGUGUAUUGAAAGGGAAUUGGAGUCUUCGGCGAAGACAAAGGCUUCCACUCCACUCCAUAACUCAUCCUUCGCCGUCGCUCCGAGCAACUCUCCAACUUUGGUAUAAUCUUCACUCAUAUUAUGAUCGCCAAAGGAGGAGAAAGUAGUUAAUAGGGUUUAUAUUUCACUCAAGUAUCCGUUUUUGGCGAUUCAUGUCAAAGGGGGAGAAAGUAUUAGCCCAAAGCAAAAGGACCGCACCACCACCAAUUUUCAAAAUUUAAUGCUAAGAAAAGGUUUUGCAAUGAUGAAUUUUUCAACUGAUAUCUUAUUAUAUUCUAAAAGGGGAGAAAGUAGCAUUUUCAAAAUUGGUAUCUUAAAACCCUCUCGAACACUAAGAGGAGGAUUUUAUUAAGGGGGAGUUUUGUUUAGUCAAAGGAAAAGCAUUUGAAACAGGGGGAGAAAUAUUCAAAUCUUAUGCAUUUACCUUUGACUAUUUGCAAAAGGACUUUGAAAAGAAUUUACAAAAGAAUUUGCAAAAACAAAACAUGUGGUGCAAGCGUGGUCCAAAAUGAUGAAAAUAAAGAAACAAUCCAUGCAUAUCUUAUGAAAAUAUUUAUUGGUUCAAUUCUAAAUAACCUUUGCACUUACAUUAUGCAAACUAGUUCAAUUAUGCACUUCUAUACUUGCUUUGGUUUGUGUUGGCAUCAAUCACCAAAAAGGGGGAGACUGAAAGGGAAUUAGGCUUACACCUAUUUCCUAAUUGAUUUUGGUGGUUGAAUUGUCCAACACAAAUAUUUGGACUAACUAGUUUGCUCUAGUCUAUAAGUUCUACAGGUGCCAAAGAUUCACAAUAAGCUAAUAAAAAGACCAAGAAAGGGUUCAAACAAAGAGAGCAAAAGACAUCUCGAAAGGCACCCUGGUCUGGCGCACCGGACUGUCCAGUGUACCAUCGGACAGUGUCCGGUGCACCAGGGCACUCGACGCUGAACUCGCUACCUUCGGGAAAAUCAGAGGGCGCUCCGCUAUAAUUCACCGGACUGUCCGGUGAAGCACCGGACAGUGUCCGGUGCCACACCGGACUGUCCGGUGUGCCAGCGGAGCAACGGCUACUUCGCGCGCAACGGUCGAGUGCAACUCAUUUAAUGCGCGCGCGUAGAGGUCAGAGCACGCGCAGUUGGCGCACCGGACAAUCUACAGGACCUGUCCGGUGCACCACCGGACAGCCCAGAGGCCCCACAAGUCAGAGCUCCAACGGUCAAACCCCAACGGUUUGCUGACGUGGCUGGCGCACCGGACAGUGUCCGGUGCGCCAUGCGACAGCAGCCUUCCAACGACCAUAUUUUGGUGGUUGUGGGCUAUAAAUACCCCAACCACCCCACAUUCAAUGGCACCCAAGUUUCUACACUUCUACACCUUACAAGAGCUAUAGCAUUCAAUACAAGACACACCAAAGAGAUCAAAUCCUCUCCCAACUCCACAAAAAGCUUUAGUGAUUAGAGAGAGAGAUUUGUUGUGUUCAUUUGAGCUCUUGCGCUUGGAGUGCUUCUUUUCUUUCUCAUUCUUCUUGUGAUCAAACUCAAUUGUAACCAAGGCAAGAGACACCAAUUGUGUGGUGGUCCUUGCGGGAACUUUGUGUUCCGUUUGAUUGAGAAGAGAAGCUUACUCGGUCUAAGUGACCGGUUUGAGAGAGGGAAAGGGUUGAAAGAGACCCGGUCUUUGUGACCACCUCAACGGGGAGUAGGUUUGCAAAAACCAAACCUCGGUAAAACAAAUCAUCGUGUCUCGCUCUUUAUUUGCACACGAUUUGUUUUGCACCCUCUCUCUCGGACUCGUUUAUAUUUAUAACGCUAACCCGACUUGUAGUUGUGCUUAAGUUUGUAAAUUUCAUAUUCGCCCUAUUCACCCCCCUCUAGGCGACUUUCAUCAACCAAUGAGGUACCAGUACCACCAUCGGUGCUGGUGGAGCCGGCCGAAGUGUCGGUGGCUGUCACAGGCCCUCCCCCACCAUCGCCCGGAGCAGAGCUUAUAUCGUCAGGAGCAGAGGUUAGAUCGGUACCAAGCAAGGCAGCAGCAUCUGCCUGGAUGUCGUCUUCGUCAUCUGGGACAAGCCCUGCCACGCGAAGGUCGUCGUUCCCGGUGAGCGGAUAGACAUCAUCAUCAUCCGCCAUGGCGACCUUCACCGCGGAUGACCGGUCUCCAACACCGUUCCUUAACGGUACACGUAGUCGUCGUGCCCGAUCUACCCUAGAGGAGGAAGACGAGGCAUCAUCAACUGACCUACGCAAAAGAGCAAAACAAUCCAGGGUUAGGGUUUACAAAUGACGCAAGUGAGAUAUAAGGUUAGGGUUAGGGUUUACCUAUGCUACUGGAGCCCGAUGCCAGAGAAUACGGGGGCCACCUAGACGACAGGCAGACACCGAUUAGAGACGACGGCGAGCGGGGAGGGGAGGACUAGACGACAACACGAACUCAUAUAGUUCACCGAGAGAGAGGGGAUAGAAGAGGGGAGAGGGGAGAGAGGAGCUGGUGCUGGAUCGAGGUCACCGGCGUCGGGGACGGGAACCAAGGGCGCUGAGGUCGCCAUAUCGGGCCGGUGCCGCGGCGGAGGAGCCGAGAUGGGAAUCGUUGAGUCGGGGAGAGAGGGUUUAGGUCGGGUCGAGUGCGAGUGACCGAGUGGAAGACUGGAGAUCGACGACUGAGGGCGAGGGGGCGAGGGGAUGAGGGGUGGGAGAUCGACAGGCCUCUACGGGCGGUCAUGGUGGGAGCAGGACAUGUCGUCCCGGCCCACGUGCCUGGCUUUCGACCUAAGCAUGACCUGCUCCACUGGACCGUGCUAGCCCAGACCCAUCACUCCCGUGUCGGGCCGGGCGUGGACCGGGCCAAAAAAGGGCCUCGAGCCGGGUCAACGGGCUCAUGCUUCAUGUACAACUAUAGCCACUGGGAUUGCGGGAAGCUGUGUUUCCGCGAAUACAGACGAGCGAGUAAAAAAACCUACGUGCACGCGUGGAUGUAGGUUGCCGCCAUUAACUGCAGCCAGCCAAACACGCCCGCAUUACGGUCAACGUGACGCCGCGAGCCUAGGCGUAGCCAACCAAUCAAUCGAUCACGCGGAUACUAAUCAUGAAGGUAGGUACAUGUCGGCCUUGCCUAUGUUGUUUGCAUGACAUUUGCUAUGAUUGGUCCUGUAUUGGGUGGUCGUGUUUGUUACUUUAGGUUGAUGCAAACCAUUCAUCCAAUACAUGAUUGUAGACACUAUACACCGCAGGAUUGGAUUCUCGAAUUUUUUUUCUGCGCUGUCGUUUGGACAGUGUGGAGGCACUACACGAAAUGGAGGAACUUUGUGCGGCUUGAGUUAUUUUUUGGCGGCUCAUUUACAAGCCAUCGAAAAUCAGUUUAUUUUCGACGACCGGUAUCAUAUCAUAAAAAAUAAAUUUAUUAUUUUCGAUGACUAUACGUAGUUGUUGAAAAUAAAAGACUUAUUUUUAAGAUUUAGACAAAAUGGACUUUAUAAAGGCUACCAUAUGCUCCCUCGCUCUCUCCGUCGUCGCCUGCUCGACCUGCAUUGCACGCCCAUGGCACCACACUCGCCCGGCCCUAUGCAUGCUCGUCGGCCUCAAUCGCCCAACCUCGCCUAUGUAUACCGUUGUGCCUGCGUCGCCAUGUCCUGCGCACCUGCCAGCCCCGGUCACCCCACCCGCACAUGGCACACACCUAGCCCACUUGUGGCGCCGUCCACGUCUGCCCGUGCCUAAGAAUGAUAAACAUGUACGAUUCAACCCUACAAAUGAUUAUUUAAUUGUUCUAAUGUUACAUCAGUAGAUUUUUCUUUUAGUAUUAUGUGAGUAGAGUAACAAAACACAUAAUUCACCAAUUUUGGAUCGACACUUGUCACGUGUGUCACACAUGUGAGAUUUGACGGUCUUAAGUUGUAGACAUCAUCCGAAUGACUAAUAUAGCAUUGACAUUUAUGAAAAACUAUGUGGUUCAAACAAAAUUUUGACGAUAUGACCUAGGUUGUUUUACACGACACCAUAUUCAGUUGUGCAGGUGGAGAACAACACGUUAUGUCACCGAAAUUUCGUUCAAACGCUAUGGACUCAUCAUAAAUCUGCGUUGUGUUGGUCACUCUUGGAUGAGUUUAGGACAUAUCCUUAUGUAUAGGCAACAUAAAACGCUCAUUAUUGUGCACCUUGCUUUAUUCUACAGAAUUAAAUAUGGAUGAUGAUCAUCGAUGGAUGUAUAUGGUUGGAAUAAAACUCAGACUCAUUAUUGUGCACCUUGCUUUAUUCUACAAAAUUAAAUAUGGAUGAUGAUCAUCGAUGGAUGUAUAUGGUUGGAAUAAAACUCAAGCUCACUUAGCUGAAUGGAUCACUAAGACUAAGGAUUUUUCUAAUGGUGCCUUUGUUGAAUAAUGAUAAGAUCUGGUAUCCAUGCAACAAAUGUUAAAACUCGAUGUUAUUUGAUAAGGUCACAAUGAGUAAACACCUGUAUCAAAAUAGUUUCAUUGCGGAUUAUGAAACAUGUGUAUUUUACAGCGAGAAAUACAUCACAUUUAUUGCAGAAGAGGAAGGAAAUAAUAGCGCAAGCAUUGAUAUGAUAGACGAGAUGCUUGAUAUAUUACUAUUAUUUUGAUAUAUUAACAUAUAUGUAGGUUCAACUCUCGUGGUUUGGAAAGGCCGUUUAGAUGUUUAUUGGUCCCUUUUGUCAUCUAUGGGCUUCUAAAGAAUUAUAAGAGAAGUCAAUGAAGAAGAAAAAAUUCUAUGAACAAGGGUGAAGAGCAUACUGUUGGAGGCAAUGUAUAGGUUCAUACGACUAGACGAAUGGUAAGACAUGACAAGGACUAUUUUCAAAAACAUAUCUAUAUGCAUAUGCUACUAAUUGCAUAUAUAGGAAGCUUAAACCGGUGUGUUGAGCCCCCACCUGUUGAUGUGCCUCUUGGGAGCAUACUUGAUGGUGCAAUUACAGACAAAGUUAUGAUCGUUAAUGGUCCUAAAAUACUCAGAAUCAAUCCCAUUAUUAUGCAAAGAUGAUGUUGUCCUGACUCCAUAACGCUAUUCUCAGUGGUAGUUUCAUCACACUAUUUCCAAUAUUGCCAUGUUAAUAAAAGUAAGUUAAAAUGAAGAAUGAAAUAUGCUCUUUCAAUAAGGAGUUUCAUGUUACAAUUUCAUGGGCUAGCAUGUGACUUAAAUGUUGUAUCUAAAUAACCAAUAGGAAUAGAUAAAAUAGAUGGAGAUAAAAUAAAUUGCCCUUGAUGAUGGUUCCACACGUUUUCUAAUACCUUAACAGGUUGACAUAGUUUUCUAGUGAUGAAACUAGUUUCAACUAUUUCAUAAUAAAUAUAGUGUCAUGCCAUCAAAAAUCCUAUAUGGCAUACUAAUUAAUGUCAUAAAAUCUCUCAUGAAACUUUCAUUGAAAAUGACCUAAUACAUCAGUGAGAUUUGACGUAUACACAAGCACACAAUACUAAUCCGAUGCACGUGUAUUGCUACAGAUUCUAUAUGUAUCAUAUGGAUAGACUUUGAUUUAAUAAAACACAAAAAUAUGUGUCAUGUUGGUUAGGUGGGUGAGAAUGUGGAGCCAACAACUAAAGUUUGAACCCCAUUUGUGGACAAUUUUACCUUAUUUUUGCAUAAAACGGAAAGGAAAAGAGUGACCAUGGAAAUCUCUAUCUCUACCUCUACCUCUACUAUAUUAAAACACCAGUUUUCUUGGUUCUGCGGUUCUACCGUUGUCACUUUUACAAAGAACUAAUUAUAUUUUCUUGUAAUCAACCUGCAGUCAGACAGAUCCACAUUUAAACAUUUAAUUGGAAAAAGCUAAAACUAUAUACAAAUAAAUAUUCGAACUAUGGUUGGUGGCUCUAAACUAAUAUUCACACCCACCUAACUAAUAAAACACAUAUGUAUUUAUUUUGUUGAUUUAUAGUUUAUACAUUAGUGAUGCACUGAUGCACAAUUUUCCGUGUCAGUCCAAUGAGGACACUCCAGCCCAUUAGGCCCAUCAAUGGAACCGAGAAUAUUGCCGCCGCGAUGCUGGCUGUUGGUAAAAAGUCAAGUCAACCACCAGAGUGCUUUGAGAUUGGAGAUCGAAGGUUGAAGGCUGAGGACGGGUCGCUUGUGGGCUUCCUUUUCCCUUCUCUUCGCUUUGUUUUUUAUCUUCUCGACAAAACCUCCAAGGCACCUCCGUUCCCCGUUCGUCCUCCACACCUGUAUCUCUUCCCCAUGGCCGGGCUCGGCGCUGGACUGGGAGCACGCCCUUCCGCGACCUUCUAGGCCGGGCCUUCUAGGACGGAAGGCUCCGGCCACUCACUGUCGCUGCCCCUCUCCGUCCCGUCGGCUCCGGUACGGAUAGGCACGAUCGCUCUGCCCAUGUUCUCUGCAUCUGCGUGCCAAUUCGUAAAAAAAUAGCUUCGCUGCCUGCUCUCGUGUCAGUGUUCUUCCCACCGGGUGGACAUUGAUACGAGAUCAUGUGCUAGGCUUCAGAGAACCGCGGCACAUUUCGCGGCGCAUGCUUACUGGUAAAGUGGUAAAUUUAAUUGUUGCACUGUACUUCUAUCCAAUUUAUGUCAGUUCCACAUACAGACAUACUUGCCUUUUGUGCCAGUAAUAGUUGAGUUUUGAGUGAACCUAUUUUUUUACUUGCUUGGGUUGGUUACAUGCCUCCCUUAUAUGUUUUAGGACUCAGAUUGAAAAUUAAUUUUAUGCCGACUCACGUGACAUCGUGCUGUUUAAAUGAUUUUAUUGCCACCUGUCCUUAACACUCUGCAUGGUUAUCAGACACUUCUAGUAAACAAUACACUCAUGACUCAUCUAGUCAUCUCCAUAUCUGUUUCUGCACAUAUCUAGUUUGCUUUCUCCUUGCUGUUUCAAGGUGCAACUAUGGACCCAUCGGGUGGCUUUGGAUGGAGUGUACUGCUCUAGAUAGUUGUGAAGUUGGAGUUCCUAAUGUCAUUGUCCGCGAAGGCAUUUUUUUUGUGUGCAGGUUACAACUAAGGUCGUUUUGCUAUAACUAGGCCUAACUAAUCCUCCCAGUUUGCAUUGUUGGCUUGUUGCCGGCAAAUUCGUAGUGCCAAAACGAUGCUUUACUGUGUCAAGCAGGCUCACAUGGGUGGAAGAUGAGCUUAUGGAGGUAAGAAAGUAUAUUUUCUGGCACUCUAUGCUGGUUUAAACCCACUUUUUUCUAUGGUAGAGUUCUUUUUUCAAUAUCAAUCUCGCACGUCGAUCCAAUUUUUAACGCUGAAAUAUGAAAAACAGUACCUGACAUUCUACAACUGUCAAAACUGGAUGGAACACUACCUGAACCAGUGUAAAGUGGUUUCCAAGGUAGUUUUCUACUUAAGAAAAUAUAAAAAAAACUAGUUCAGUCUCUAAAAAUUCAUAACUAAUUUACUUCGUUUUUAAAAUAUGAAAUCAGAACCAUUUUCUAGAAUUGUUAUUUAUCCGUUGGUAAUCUAUUUAUAGUUUUUUAAAUUGAUUUAUUCGUGUUCCUAUUUUUUAUUGCUCAAGUGGUGCUCAUUAUUUGUUUCAAUUAUUGUUUUACACUGAAGAAGCAGAAUAUCUCCAAGGAAUGACUUGGGACGAGGUACCUAAGAGAUAUGAGUGGAAUAUCUUCAAGAUGUUAGCUAAGGAUAGGUGCGCUCGGAGACUAGCAAUUAACAUGUAUGAACCAUGAUCUUUGUCUCUUUUUCUAUUUACCCUUAACUCUACUGUAUUGUCUUUUACUCUUUUGGUGUUUUUUCCUUCUAUUCUUGUUUCUUGUGUGUUUAAUCUCUAGCUUACCCUAACUUAUUUGGGACAAAAAGGUUAUGUUGUUGUUGUAUUGUUUUGCACUGAAGGGGCGGUCUAUCUGAGUCACCAGGUUGCGGGUUGUAUUUGUGGGGGAACGUUUGCCUCGUUUUAUGCCUUCCCCAGACCCAACUCAUGGGAACCUCCAAUGCUGGAUUCUGGAUUUCGUAAUAUUUGACUGUCUAUCAGUUCGUACGCGUCUUCUUAUGAUAAUCUUGUAGUUUGUGGGUUAUCUACAUUAAACUAAUACACCAAAUUCUCCGCAAAAAAAAAACCUAAUACACCAUGACCAACUUUCAUCACGGGUCACAUUUAAUGAUUCUGCUAACAUAUCAAUACACUUCCACAUUUGGUAUCAAAGAAAAGGCCACCUUUGAGGCGUGGAAAGGCCGACCAUCUUAUGUUAGUUCAAAAGGAUUGCCAGAACUAUGCAAGGGCUUAAUGGAUUACUGGAACGAGAGCUGCUUGCAAACUUGUUGCCCAUGUUCUUGACUUUGCUGGGACUUCAGUUAAGGUAAGCAUAUUCAUUUGCAGAUGACUGGAUUGUUUUUCUAACUCAAUUAUUAGCUUCCUAUAAUUUAAUAACGCAGUAUUUGUUUCAAUCUCAUUCUAGCCAUCCAUUACUUCAAAUGAAAUUGACGCAGCAGUUCAUGAUAUGAUCAUUGAGGCUGCUACCUAUCCUUCUCCACUUGGAUAUCGUGGAUUUCUAUAUGUACAUCAGUAAAUGAGUCUGUCAAGGGAUACCUGAUUCAGCUCCUCAGAUGCAGGUUAUGGAUAAUGAAAUUUGCCUCCUCGCAUCUCUAUUCACUGUAGUAGCUAAGUACCAUGGGCUAACCAAGUUUUUUCUGCUGCAGAAUGGGGAUAUUAUAAAUAUUGAUGUAAAUGUGUUCCAGAAUGUAAGAAACCUCUCCUAAAAUGUGCCACAGUCAAAUUGGAUGAUGUUUCCCAUUUGUAAUUAGUUUGGUAUGUUCCUGAACAGGGAUACCAUGGGGGUACCUUCAGAACAUUUGCAUGUGGACAGGUGAAUGAUUCUAUCAAGCAUUUUCUCAAUGUAAGCCAUUAUUGUUGUGUGGUUCAUUCAGUAAUCAAUAGCUGCCCUGAUUUGUAUAAUGCACAUUUUGCCAUGUUUCUGUGGUGCGUGUAUGUCUGGUUUUCACGAACAUUUGUAAUGUCAGUUCGAGUUUAAAAAUCUCGGGUUAAAACUAGACCCUGGAAGCACUCAGUUUUUUAAAAACUGAUUUAUGAAAUUGAAGUGGUUCUAAACACAUCAGUUUAUGUCUCAAUUUACAGAAACUGAAUUUUUAGUUUCUUAAAAACCAAGAAGGUAGUCUCCUCUAGCUAAAAUCACUUUAUAAAAAUUAAGGUGGUCCAAACACCAUUAACCAUUUUUUUAUAAAUCAGUUUCUAAAAACUGGAGAUAGAAAAAAACUGGUUGCUUCCAAAGAGGACAUUAAUCACCAAAACUCAACUAGGAGUCAAGAUGUUUUAGCAAAAAAAAUUAUAUCUAUAUUUGUUCACCCUAGUUUCUUCUUCAAUGAAAUUCUUGUGAAAAAUGUAGUUUAAGCUCAACGGGCGCGAAUAUUGCCUAAAACAUUUUUGGAUCGUUAUUACAGCACUAAAACUGUCUGGGGAAAAACAAGGGUUUAGCAAGGUGGCCAGAAAGGGGGGGGUCCACCAUUGACAUGACUUGUGCAUAUUUCAGUGCCCAUUGUCCAGGUUGCUGACUCUCUGGCACACUGCUUUCUCCCCCACCCUGUGUCCCCACCGAAUAGCAGCGGAGUGAGGAGUCGACACUAAUCAGCUAAUGAACCUUGAACCCUAGAAGGCACCAAUAACCAAGAAACAAAGAGUCAGUAAUUCACCCACUCCCAACCGAGCCCCGGAAAAUCCCCCAAUCCCAACGCAUCUUUUGCCCCGACACCUCACCAACCUCGCCGACAUCACUCCAGGACCAGCUCCAUCCAUCCAGCACCAAGCGGCAAGCACGCACGCUCCCACUCCCACGCCAACGCCACGCAGCAGAAAUCAGCAAUCUUGGGGGUGGGAGGGAAGGAGAUUCCUGGAGAAAGCGAUCGAGUGCGCAUCAAAAGAAGCAGUCUUGGACGAAAGAAGCAGUCCCGGAGGCCGGCACGAGCAGGAGCAGGCGCAGCAGGGCACACUACCAAAUCCCAAUGGGGAGCAGGAGCGGAGGAGGGAGUGUCAGUGGCAGCUGCUUGCUACUCUUCCCCUUCCUCCUCUUGCUCCACCUCAUCUCUCUUCGCUGUAAGUUCUCUCUAUCUCCAGUCAUCCUCUAUUGGAUUCGUUCUUGAAUCUUGAUAACCUUCGCCCGCCUGCUCUUCUUCUUGCUGGGUUGGGUCGGCAAUUGCAAAUGCCGGGUUUCGCUGACUGGUUGCAACCGCAGCAGGCCCAUCGGCGGUGCUGGUGUCGGCGGCGGGGUCCGGCGAGCCGUACGUGGGCGUGACGAUCGGCACGCAGGUGACGAACCUGCUGUCGCCGUCGGACCUGGCGUCGUUCCUGCGCGCGCAGCGCAUCACCCGCGUGCGGCUGUACGACGCGGACCCGCGGCUGCUGUCGGCGCUAGCGGCCUCCGGCGUGCGUGCCAUCGUGGGGGUCCCCAACGACGAGCUCCUGGCGCUGGGGUCCUCCCCGGCGACGGCCGCCUCCUGGGUGUCCCGCCGCGUGGUCCCCUUCGCGGGCGUGAACUCCAGCACCCCGAACGUCGUCUCCGCCAUCGCCGUCGGGGACGAGGUCCCGACCGCGCUCCCGUCGGCGCUGCCCGUGCUGCUCCCGGCCAUCCGGUCCCUGGCGGCCGCGCUCGCCGCCGCCAACCUCUCGUCCAUCCCGGUGUCGACGCCGCUGCCCUUCUCCGUGGUGGUGGACCCGUUCCCGCCGUCGCAGGCCUUCUUCAACCAGUCCCUGGACAAGUCGUUCGUGGCGCCGCUGCUGGCGCACCUCGCCAACACGUCGGCGCCGCUGAUGCUGAACCUGUACCCCUACUACUCGCUGAUGCAGAGCAAGGGCGUGAUCCCGCUGGACAACGCGCUGUUCCGGCCGCUGCCGCCGUCGAUGGAGAUGGUGGACCCGAACACGCUGCUCCGGUACACGAACGUGUUCGACGCGAUGCUGGACGCGGUGCGCGUGGCCGUGCGGAACCUGAACGCGACGGGCGGCGCGGGCGUGCCGAUCCUGGUGACGGAGACGGGGUGGCCGUCGUACGGGGACCGGCGCGCGGAGCCGUACGCGGGAAGGGACAACGCGGACGCGUACAACUCGAACCUGAUCAAGCACGUGCUGGAGGAGAAGGCCGGCACGCCCAUGGCGCCCGGCGCCGGCGCGCAGUCCAGCGCCUACAUCUACGAGCUCUUCAACGAGGACCUCCGGGCGGGCCCCGUGUCGGAGGCGAACUGGGGCCUGUUCUACGGGAACGGCACCCCGGUGUACCUCCUGCACGUGUCCGGCGCGGACGGGUUCCUGGGGAACGACACGACGGACCGGACCUUCUGCGUGGCCGCCGACGACGCGGACCAGAAGGCGGUGCAGGCGGCCAUGGACUGGGCGUGCGGGCCCGGGCGCGCCGACUGCACGGCGAUACAGCCCGGGCAGGCGUGCUACCAGCCCGACGACGUGCGCAGCCACGCGUCGUUCGCGUUCGACGCCUACUACCAGUCCCAGGGCCGCGCCGCCGGCUCGUGCUACUUCCAGGGCGCCGGCAUGGUCACCACCGUGGAUCCGAGUGAGUGUCAUCUCGCCUUUUUUUCUGCCUGCUCGAUCGUCACCAUCCGUGUUUAUUACUAGUAAGUACAUAAUAAUCGCGCUUCUUAAAUGCCCGCCUGACAAAGACAAAUGACUAGCGAGCUGUGCUGUGCGGAACGAAACUGCCCAGUAGCUUCUCGUGACAGAAGAAGUGAGUGGUGUUGGUCGGACUAGAGGGCAAUAGAAACGUACUGUACGUUUUGGUGUGGGUUCGAGCAGUAGGAGCGACGCUAUUGUCACGCCCAGGAAAAAGCAGGUGGUGGCGCUCAUUCACCGUUCAGUAUUGAACGCCCGCGGGGGCGGGGCAUGGAAAGUUGUUGGGUUUGUCCUCUGGUUUUGAGAGCGCUAGCGCACUAUGGGCUAGCUAGUUGAAUGGAACAGUUGUCGAUGGGUAGGAGAAAUGUUUGCUUUUCCCUGUAGGUGAGCUGCUGCUUUUGGGGUCUUGCGGGAGGGAGGGAGGGAGAAUAUGGAGCUAGGUACGGGAACCCGUUGGUGGUUGCUGAUCACUCGAUAGAUGGGAUGACAAACAAAUCAGAUGAUUUGUUUCCUGUACAUUGAUCUAUCAUAUCUGUACAAAGAAAUCUGACGCAGAGAGAGAAAGAAAAUCCAUGGCGUCGGAAUCGGACCAUCCGAUUCCAAUCUACUACUACUACUAUCCAGCCAUCCAGGUCCAAGCAUUUCUCACUGGCACUCUGGCAGUGACUACCUUGCCAUCAGUCCAUCACCUUGGUUGGUGGUUUCCAUUACGAGUGUGUUUGGUUUGAGGAAUGAAGUGAUCCAUCUUCUUCUCACUCCUCACUUUUUUUAUUUGGUUUGUGGAAUAGAAUGGGUUGAUCCAUCACCACCACAUUCCUCAUAAGCUAAUAAUUAGUAUAUACAUGAGGAGUGGGUUGAUUCCACCAAAAUUGAUGGAAUGGACUUAUGAUGCAUCACCUCAUGAAGCAUAGAGUGACUCCACAAACCAAACACAACAUACAUGUAGCAAAGCUUUUGGUUUGGUCACGUAGGUAGGAGAGGACGAGAGAAGCACGCGCAGCGCACUACGGUGACGGAGCCGAGCUGGAUCUGGCUGUAGAUUUGUCUGGUGCUCUUGCCGGUGCCAGGCCUGGACGAUUCCUCAUCGUUUGCUAGUACAUAUACUUUGGCGCCACGGCUGUACUGUAUAAAAAAGAAUCAGUCGUCUCCUUUUCACAUGUGAGCUUCCUGUCCUGUCCUGCAUGCCAAGGCCCCAAGGGUGGCACAUUGCCGUCCGAUUGCACGCCUCGCAUCACUUUCACCAUGUCUAGCACGCGGGAAUGAAUGGCUCUCCUCUUUUCCUAUGGAUUUUUGGCAGACACAAAUAAUUUGGCUGCGUUGUUUUUUCCUGCUUCCUUCUCAUUCACACCGGAAUCGGGAAAAAAACUUGAGUACAAAUUGUUUUCCCCCUCAUCUUUCGGCAAAGUUCAAUCAUGGCUCAUGGCUCAUGUGGCUGCGGCGUGCUCGAAAGGCUAAAGGUGAACCGUGAUGGGAGAUCUUUCUGCUUGCCCAUCAUUUCCUUUCGGAUGCUGCUCUGCUGCAUCGGUACAAGUUUGCGUUCGCCAGCUUUCAAAUACAGCCGAGUGUAACUGGGCAUUGUUGUGUAGCGAAUGGUGGCCACUCUGGAGAUCUAGGACACGUUCGGAUGGUUGCCAGUUGCCACAUUUUUACCAUACCUAGUAUGUUUGAUUACUGUUCGUGUUUUAAACAAAUCAAGACUAACAGUAAUUGAUGGGGGGGAUUGGUCUUUGUCCUGUGGACACUAGUCUUAUCUGCAAUGCAAUGGGCUAUUGGCCACCACAGAGCUGAGAGCAUGUGGUCAGGAAGUUAGGAAUUUUUGUUGUUGUUGCAGGAGGUUAGGCAUUCUUGGCAUAUGAAUCACAACACUACCAUGUGUCACAAGGUCUAUAUAUACCAUUAGUCCAUUGCUUCUAUCUUACAUAUAUAUAUAUACUAUCCAGUUGCCUGUGCUUUUACUACGGUUUUUAUAUAUUAUAUAAAUAGGUAUUGAGAUGUUUAUUCAAAUAUAAUUAUUGUUUAUUUCUAAACACUAAGAUAUAUGUAGUCUGGUGGUUAGCUCCAAAUUUCUAGAGUAGGGGACGUAUGUUCAAAUGAUCGCUUUGCACUAUUUUUUAUAUAAUUAUUGUUUAUUUCUAAACACUAAGGUAUGUGUGGACUGGUGGUGGACUGGUGGUUGCACGGGCGCUCGGGUACAUAGGGCAGUAGAUGAGAGCGUGAUGAGCGUUGGGGCCAACAGGGCGACGCUGAGUCGAGGGGCGUGUGGGGCGGGCCCAGUGUGUCAGCGUGGGGUGGAAGCCGUGUGUAGGGCGGACCCAGUGUGUCAGCGUGGGGUGAAGCCGUGGUAGCACCAAGUGUCCACCUUCCGUUCUUAAUAAUAGUAGGGAUAGAGAGAGAAAAUGGCAAGGGGGGGGGGGAACGGAAAAAGGAGAGUGCAGACUGGAAUCUCUUGGAUCUGGAUGCAAUGUGGGAUCAAGACAAAGUGUGACCCAUGCUAGUGGCCAACUGGAGGAAGUGCUGGGAGCAUGCAGCAUUGUCUGGUAUGAGAACAGUAUUAUAAUUAUCUGGACACAUGCCUACGGAAGGCUGAUUCUCGAUCUGCUGUUUUCCUCAGACUGCUCUAGAGUACCAGAGCACGUAGCCUUGCUCCAAGGGUACCCUAAUGUGGAUGAAUGACGGUCGAACACUGACUCUGGGCUGUACGCGUUUGGUGGUUAUGUGCUCAGGCAACACUGGGUGGAAACCUCUGAAUAUAAUCUGAGUGGUCCAGGAUGCUCAUUUGGGCCUUCUGCAGUUUUUUCAGUACCUAGUGCCAUUUAGAUCGUGUUCUAAUGUUUUUGUCUGAAAUACCAGAACCUGUUCAUGCGUUUUGGACCGUGAGUUCUUUUUUAUCAUCAGAAAACAACUUCCCGUUCUUCAGGCAUGGUUUCCCAGACCUGCUGGCAAAGCUCUCGGUUUACUUUGCAACAUGGUAUGAUGUUUCUGUGGUGGGAGGCCAAAGUUUCCCCAUGCUACAGAAUUUACAUGGGCUCCGUUGUAUAGUCAUGUACGAUCCACUAACGACGGUCGUUCCUUUUAGUGGCCCUGAGGUCUCUGAGCACCAUGUGAACGGCAAUAUUGUACCCGUUUGAUAAUCUACAGGCGUAGGUUAUUUUGAAUUUUUUUUGCCCAGCUUUUUUUUCUUAGUGGCUUUGGAAAAUCAUAUUCCUCUACCUCUAGGAUUUUGCUGUGCGUCUCUGUGUUCGAGGCCCAUAAACCUGUCGGACUAUUUUUUUAUGUUCGCAUGUUGGACCGUACACGAACUUCGCGUCAAUCUUUUGCAGAUAUCAUUUAAAAAGUUUAUAUCUCCAACAUCCACUCUGCUUUCCUAACAAAUGGAUAUCUUUUGCUGCGCAGGUCAUGACAGCUGUUUAUUUCCUGGAAGGUAAACUGCUGAAACUUCUCCUUUGUGAUAUCCAUGAUACUGUCCUGUUUAUAUAUUAUUGCCUAUGCUUCUUAAGUGUAAAAGAUAAUAGUACUGUGGCAAAUAAAGAUAAACUGUUUACUAGUGGUGGUAAAUCAUUCAUUUCUUACAUUUGCUUACAAUCUAGGUAUGCUGUGCAAACCCAACCACCUUUUGUAACAAAAUCUCCUAAACCUUUGUUUUUUAUGAGCUUGCAAGAAGCUCCAACAUCAAUAAAUUUGGUGGGGAUCCCCACCCACACACUCAAAGAAACGUACAUAGAAAGGAACCAUACAGACCAUCUAUUAUUGUAGAUAAAAGAUAUAUGUCGCAGCUAAGAUUACCUUGCAGUGGACAUUCCUGUUUCAGAAAAAUUGUAUCAUGGACCAUAACCAUAAGGUCUGUUUUAGGGGAUGUUUGAUUUGUAGAGACUAAUUUUUAGUCCCUCUAUUUUAUUCUAUUUUAGUCUCUAAAUUGGUAAAUACAUUUUAGUUUCCGUAUUUAACAAUUUAGGGACUAAAAUAUAAUAAAAUAGAGGGACUAAAAAUUAGUCCCAAAAACUAAACACCCCUUAGAGCUUGUUCGGUUAGCUCUUAGUACAUGUGGAUUGAGUCGGAUUGGAUGUGUUUAAAUCCUAAACAAAUUAAGCUUCUAUUUAAUUUUUUUCUAAUCCCAUCCAAUCCAUAUGUAAUUGGAAUAACCGAACAAGGCUUUAGUGAUUUGUAAGGAUAUCUGAAUAUGAAAUGUUAAACCAGAUGCUGCAUGUCAUAUAUCACACCACACUUAAGCUGUGCUAAUGCUGGUCGUCAUCAUGCAGUAAGCUGCUGAACAACGCCACUGGAUCCGGCAACACGAACACAUCUUCGACACCUACAAGUGACGCUGAGGGAUCUGCGAUAUGGAGACUAAGAACUGGGAGGGACAAAGGGCUGUUGCUCUUCCUUCGGUUGGUACUUAGCAUUGCGGUGGCUAUCGUGGUGGAUUCGAACUUUUGGACAUGACAAGAGGUUGCUAGCUGUAUAAUAAACUAAAGCCAGAAAUUUUGGGUGGUAUGUUAGAGGAGGAAGGAAGGAGGUGGGCGGGGGAUUGGGUUAUGCUUAGUGAUUCUUUAUUGUUAGAUAAGCAUUAAUAAAUUGCUCAUUUUUCUUCAUCUGAUGAAAUGUGUCUAUAAUUUGUUGAAAUGUCCCGAUAUUUCAAUCUGCUGGGUUCAUGUCCAUACAAUAGUUUUUUUUAUCAAAUUACUGUAGGAUUGGCCUACAGUUUUUUUUAUUCAUUUAGGGCUAGUUUGGGAACACUAAUUUCCCAUGGGAUUUUCAUUUUCCCAAGGGAAAAUGAACUAAUUUCCCUUGGGAAAAUGAAAAUUCUAUGGGAAAUUAGUGUUCCCAAACUAGCCCUUAGGAUUUUUUAUAUGUCGGUCGGUAUCGUUUACAUUCGGGAUAUUACAGAUUUCGCAGCCAGUCUAACUGCGUCCGCUGCUGCGUGCUUCAUUCUGAAACAGAUUAGAUGUCCAUACAACAGUGCUGACCGAUUAUGUGUAUUUUCAGUUACAGAGGCCGAGGUAUUAUUUUUAUUAUCUUUUUCGAUAAAGGAAGCUUUAUUAAAUUUUUAAGCUAAUAUAUCAAGGUGAUACAAUGAUGUAUUGAUGUGGCCUCCUCUCGGGUCUCUUGGGUGACCGUAGAGGGGAGAGGAGCCUAGAACCAGGGACAGAUCUGGGACAGAUCUCAGGGUGUAGGAACUAUGGCUAGGCCGACGGAUGUAGUUACCGUGGCUGGCAGCUUGCCGAGCCACGAUGACCAAGACAGUCUCGCCCAACUGCAGGGAGACUUUAUUCCUUGAUGAUCCUUAAUACAAACUACGGUCUACCUUUAUAGUACGAGGCAACCUCCUUAAAAGGAACUAAAUAACUUAUUCUAGAAGUAAACUAAUGCAUCUCUUAUUCUGGAAAUAAACUAAUGCAUAUCUCCCUACAAUAAAAGCUUUCCUACUAACCCGAUUACUAGCCACUUUUCUGAUCACUUUCCUUGCUUGCUUCUGCUGCUCCUUGGCUGGAUCCUGGCGCCGUCGCCUCUGGUAUUGGCAGCCCACAAAUGCAUCACUAACAUACAAAGUCUUAUAAAACACUUCUAGCUUCUGCAUAACACAUGGCCUAAAAAAUAACACACGGCCUAAAAAAGGAAAUACCAUAUGGUACAACUCAAGCACUAAUGACAAUCGAUCCUAAGGCUAGAUUGUCACUCAUGUGUCUGGCUAAAAAAAACCUUGGCCACUAGCAUCAAAUGUUGAGAUGCCGCAACAACUAUAUCCUAUGAAGUUGGUCGCUACAAAAUAGCCCAUGAACGAAGCUAAUGAAUAAAUUUGAAGGUGAUCUACAAAGAAGAUAAGUUAUAUUUUUAUCAAAUAUCAAACUAAUAUGCAAGUAGUCAUUAUGUGCAAACGUGCAAGCAGAUCUUUUGGUCCGUUAGAUCUAGAUCUAACCGUAUGUUAUAUUUAACAUUUAAAUCCUCUCACCACCACCUCAUGUAACUUUAUAUAAAAAAACCCUAACAAACCACGAUUACACAUACAUAUGGUUGGAUCUAGAUUCAACGGACCAAGAGAGUUGUUUGCACGCUUGCACCUAAUGACUGAUUGUAUAUUAGUCGUUGUCAUUUCUGUAAAGCCAUAAUGACCAGCAAGUAGCAGUUGUCCCUAACAGAACUAGUUGUUUUUUUUUCUUUCCCAAUGCUCCACAACCAAGACCCGAACAUGUGAGAAAACUAUGAGUCCUAGAAAACCUAAAAGCAGUAUGAAUGAUGAACCACACAUCUCGAGCAAAGCAACAUUCAUAAAAUAAAUGAUUAAUUGUUUCAUCUUUGUGACAAAAACACAAACUUUACUGCCCUAUCAAUUUCUCUUGGCCAAGUUAUCCUUUGUCAAGACUAUUUCUCGGUGUAAAUACCAAAAAAGAUAUUAAUUUUUAGUGGAGUUCUAAGCUUCCACAAUUAUUUCCAUUAUCUAAGAAAAGAGUGAUAGAGAGUAUGCAUGCAGCAUAAGUUGCAACUUAUUUCACGUUGGUAUCUCAACGUAAGAACAAUUUUCAGGAUUACAAUGCAGGAUCCUCAACAACUAAGAAGUUGUUUUUACACGACGAGAAGCAAGAAAGUAGGAUUAUCACGACCUGUUUUCUCUUGAUCGAGGCGGACCACUGACCGGACGGUUAACCAAGACAACAUUGUCAGACGAAGAGAGACUGAAAUUACUAUCUAUCUUACGCAAGAGGUGAGAUUUAUGCUCGUACGUCUUCCCGAGAAGAGAUGGAGGACUGUUUGAUGAUUAAUCAGUUGAAGUCUCAAACAUGGAAAACGUUCUCUCUCAAAUCAUGAGUCCUUUUUUCGAUUUCGUUUUGAAGCACCAGGUUGCUUAGAACAAAUUCGACAAAAUGAGGUACCAUGUGUAUAUUUAAAAUAUGAACGUUCAAAUUGUGCCACUUCGGUAUUUUGAAUAUACAUUUGGAUAUACCGCUUUGCCAUCUUCGCAGAAGACGUUGAAUUAUUUUAUCAGAAUAUUAAGUUAUUAGUUUCCAUAUAUUUCUCAAUUAAAUUUUUGAAAAGACAUUGAAGCAUGUGCAAAUGUAUGAAAUCAUAAUCCAAUACGGAGAUCACAAUAAGGCACUGUUUGUUUACUUUUAGGAAAAUAUAUAAUCAAGCUUAUGAAUUAUAUAAGCAUCUAUUAAACUGUUUAUAGAUUAUCAUAAUUUAGAUAUCUAGAUUACACAAUCCACUUAAUAAUAUGUGUUGUUUAUUUACCUUUCAACUUAUUUAAGCUAAAUUAUAUAAUCUAAAUGGUAAACAAAUAUGACCUAAAAAAGAAAAAAAUGACUUGCAUUGUUGGUAGGCUGCAAUAACUAGCCAUCUUGCCCGGCCCAUCUUAUCAACGGCGGACCUUGGCAGGCCGCGACCAUCUGCCCUCACCAAGACACCAAGUACCCCAUCCCGGAUCGCUAAUGGUCUGAAUCUGAAUCGAAGUACGGGUGUACGUCCUUCUCCUCGUUUCUGUUUAUCUGGACCGAGGCCCAGUUAGGCAAUCGACGAAUCCGCCGCCACCCCUUGCUUAGUUGCUUAUGAGAUGUCUGCAUCAGUGGAGUUUUGACCGCUAGUUUGUGAAAUAGCUUUAGACCUUGUUCGUUUAUGUCGGAUUACACCCGGAAUCGUUCCAGCUAAGGGCCUGUUCGUUUGGCCCGGAAUUCAUACCGGAAUAGUUCCAGCUAAUCAAACCUUAUAUAAAUUAGGUAACCAAUCCGGCUAGGAAUACUUCCGGGUGGCCAAUCCCCAGGAACCGAACGGGCCCUAAGGGCUUGUUCGUUUCACCGUUAAACCAUGUGGAUUGGAUGGUAUUGAGUCGGUUUAAAUCCAUAACAAGUCAAAAUACAUCCCAAUCCAUUCAAAUACACUCCAAUCCACAUGGAAUUGAAAUAACCGAACAAGGCCUAAGGCCUUGUUUGUUUGUGUCGGAUUACACCCGGAACUAUUCCACCUAAUCAAAGUUUAUAUAAAUUAGAGAAGCAAUCCGGUUAGGAUUCGUUCCGACCCACCAAUCCGACAGAAACGAACAAGACCUAAUCAAAGUUUAUAUAAAUUAGAGAAGCAAUUCGGUUAGGAAUCGUUCCAACCCACCAAACCGGCACAAACGAACAAGCCCUUAACUGUAUCCGGUAGACACGUCCGAUCAGCAUGUUAUCUCAAAGAACACGGCUACAGUCCUCUUCGAGUCCCUACCUGACAGAGUGUCUGAUAUACCACGAGAUAUAUUCGGUGAGAGCCACUACAUACUCGUCUAUAUAUAGCUUUCUAUGAUGUCGUGUGUGAUGCGUCAUGAUUGAUAAUUCUCUGUUGAAUGUGACACAUUUGUAUCUUGUGCUCUGUAUUCGGCGCACACUAACAUGUCUAAUACACCUGCAGCACCAUCAACUUGCCUAUUUCAAACACUCUUUGAGUUGAGUUUAUUCUCAAAUUUAUCUAAGGAUUUCCAUAGAGCUACUUAUAUUAGAUUUUACAAGUAUGCAUCACAACCCAUCACUAAACGUACCUAGAUUAAUCUUGUCGGUGUUUUAAACCUCGCUCCGACAAAUAAAUUUGUGUGCGUGUUCUGGGCUCUAGACGGUGUGCACGGUGGGCACAAGAUUUAUAUUGGUUCGGAUAGAACGUCCCUACAUCCAGCCAUCGGUGGCUUGCGCUACCGGCACCAUUGAUGAUCAAAAGCUCGUAGUAAGGGUUACAAGCGGGUGAGAGAGGGAGAAGAUGCUUUCAAGUCUAUUGUCGUGGAGGAUCGUGGAGGAGGUGGAACUAAGGGCUACAUAGUGGAGUCCUAACUAAGUCUUGACUUGGCGGUAGGGCUCCGACCUUUGGGUCCUCGUCGUUGCGUCCUCAUUCUGUUCGUCCUUCCGUCGUUUUCUCGUCUGGGUCCCCUUCUCCCUAGGAGCAAACCUCCUCCUUUCAUAUGCCAAGGAGGGGGUCAGUCCGUUACCAAGGAGUCACAAAACGAUGGUGGUAAAACCAAGAGUUUUACCCUAGUGAAGCCACGCGUGCCCGUAGGCCUAAGGUCGCUCGGUUGUCUCGUAUUCUUUAUAGCGGACGGUGCGAGCAGCAUCGAGCCUGAGUGCCAUCAUUCGAGCUACACCGACCUCUGGCCUUCGUUGCCUCGGGCUCGGCGUGCUAUGCCCUGCCAGCGGUCUGUGCACUCAGGUCUAGUCCCGAUAGGUCAUGAGUGUGUCGCAUGUUAGGGGGUGCGCGGGUCAGAAAUGUGUCACAACUCGAGGGGUUCAUAGGUUAUGAGUGCGCCGCAUACCGAGAGGCUCAUAGGCCAUGAGUGAGAGGCAGAUUGACGCUUUUAUCGUGGCUCGGUGUCAGGCGUAGUUAGUGCGGCUGGUUACUUAUGGCGAGUCAGCCUUGGUAGCCUUGGGCAUGGUGAGGGAUCCACUCGAGUGGUUUCCCCCUCAGUUCGCCCAACCCCCCUGUCUAGUUCUGCCACGCUUGACCCUGGGCUCGGUGCCACAGAGAUCGUUGGGGUGCUUCCAGGGUAGACGUUUCCUUCCUCUUCCAGCUGACCGACGGAUCCUAGUUACCAAAGACUUUUCCCUAGCGAGCUCGUUGACCUGUGGUUCCCCAGGGACCGGGUAUCUUAUCCUCGACAAAGCUAUCUAUCCAUACCCCCUUCACAUCAUGACAAAAAAAUUAUCACUAAUCUAAGCAUCAUCAACUUUAUCGAUACUUAGAACUAGUCGGUUUUUAAUUUUCUCUCUCAUCAUUUGAAAAGAAAAUCAAAUAUCAUCAAUAGGGUCACGAAAUCCAUAUAUGCUCAAUCAGUUGAUAUUAUCAUGACUUAACUUCUAUUCCAUGUGCGAAGUACAUGUUAGGCAUAAUAAUCUAGAAUCCCUAUUAAUCACCAAAACCCAACUAGAGAUCUAGACACUUUCAUCUACAGAUUAUGAAAAGCAGCUUGCAUGGUCAUGAAUGUAUAGUCGAGCAAUGACAUUGUUUGUAUAGAGAAGAGUUUCAUGGUAGCCUCUAGUUCUAUACUACUAAAUAUAUUCAAGGCAAUCGGAUGUUGCAUUCUCGUUUAAAACUGGCAGUCACUUCCUGGCUAGAUGAAAUCCAUCUUUGUUGAGGGGGAUUCUACUUGCACCAUUCUAUUUUUUUUUUCAUCAUCAAACGCAUAUGCAUGUCACAUGUAUCUGAUUAUCUUAUUUAUAACGGUAGACGUAGCUAUUAAGGUAUACAGAGCAAAAACUUAUAAUUCCAUUUAGAGUAUGUGUAGGAUGCUUCAGUAUAAAGCUGUAGUUUAUAGAUAAAUUCAAAUAAUUUUAGAAUUUUUUUAAUCUAAAUAAGAGAUAAUAUAGGAUAGGUUAUCUGUUGGGGACUUGUUCUCAAAUGCUUCGAGUUAAGAACAAGACAACAUAGAAAGUGUUAAAUGUUAAAGUCCUUCGUCCUUUGAAGCAUUAUCUCCCUUCGGAUAUAAUGAAUUCCGGACGAAGGUUAUAAAGGACAAACCUUUAUAAGCACAAUAAAUGGUAAAGAAGGGUUCGUAUACAAAAUAUGGAAAAUAACAUAAACACUUUAAACAUUAUUAUCAACUUAUUUUUAUUUGCGUUACUGAAAGGGAAUUAGGUUUACACUUAUUUCGUAAAUGAUUUUGGUGGUUGAAAUUGCCCAACACAAAUAUUUGGACUAACCAGUUUGCUCUAGUCUAUAAGUUAUACAGGUGCCAAAGGUUCACACUAAGCCAAUAAAAAGACCAAGAAAAGGGUUCAACAAGGAGAGCAAGGGAUAACCGAAGUGUGUCCUGGUCUGGCGCACCGGACUGUCCGGUGUGCUACCGGACAGUGUCCGGUGCACCAGGGAACUCCAAGCUGAACUCAUCACCUUCGGGAAUUCUCAGAGGCGCUUCGCUAUAAUUCACCGGACUGUCCGGUGCACCACCGGACAGUGUCCGGUGCUCCAAGGAAGAGCGACUCUGAACUCGCCAGCUUCGGGAAUACGCUCCGCUAUAAUUCACCGGACAUGUCCGGUGCACAUCAGACUGUCCGGUGAGCCAGCGGAGCAACGGCUACUUCGCGCCAACGGUCAUCUGCAGGCGCAUUGAAUGCGCGCCAGCGCGCGCAGAAGUCAGAGCACGCGCGGAUGGCACACCGGACAGCCAGGCGGGCCCACAAGUCAGAACUCCAACAGUCGGAACCCAACGGCCUGGUGACGUGGCUGGCGCACCGGACUGUCCGGUGCGCCAUGCGACAGCAGCCUCCACCAAACGGCUAGUUUGGUGGUUGGGGCUAUAAAUACCCCAACCACCCCCACAUUCAAGUAAUCCAAGUUUCCCACCUUCCAACUACAUUACAAGAGCUAGCAUUCAAUACAAGACACACCAAAGAGAUCAAAUCCUCUCCCAACUCCACACAAAGCUUUAGUGAUUAGAGAGAGUGAUUUGUUGUGUUUAUUUGAGCUCUUGCGCUUGGAUCGCUUCUUUUCUUUCUCAUUCUUUCUUGAGAUCAAACUCACUUGUAAUUGAGGCAAGAGACACCAAUCGUGUGGUGGUCCUUGCGGGAACUUCGUGUUCCAUUUGUUUGAGAAGAAGCUCACUCGGUCCGAGGGACCGUUUGAGAGAGGGAAAGGGUUGAAAGAGACCCGGUCUUUGUGACCACCUCAACGGGGAGUAGGUUUGCAAGAACCGAACCUCGGUAAAACAAAUCCACGUGUCACACUCUUAUUUCGCUUGCGAUUUGUUUUGCACCCUCUCUCUCAAACUCGAUUAUAUUUCUAACGCUAACCCGACUUGUAGUUGUGAUUUAGUUUGUAAAUUUCAGAUUCGCCCUAUUCACCCCCUCUCUAGGCGACUUUCAAUUGGUAUCAAAGCCCGGUGCUUCAUUAGAGCCUAACCGCUCGAAGUGAUGUCGGGAGAUCAUGCCAAGAAGGAGAUGGAGACCGGCGACAAGCCCACUACAAGCCACGGGAAAGCUUCAUCGGAAGAGUCCCGCAACAAGGGGAAGGGGAAGGAGAAGAAAUCCUCUUCCCACAAGUCGCAUCGGAGUGGCGACAAGAAAAAGAAGAUGAGGAAGGUGGUCUACUACGAGACCGAUACUUCAUCACCUUCCACCUCCGUCUCCGAUGCGCCAUCCAUUACUUCUAAGCGCCAUGAGCGCAAGAAGUUUAGUAAGAUUCCCCUACGCUACCCUCGCAUUCCUAGACAUACUCCAUUACUUUCCGUUCCAUUAGGCAAACCGCCAACCUUUGACGGUGAAGAUUAUGCUAGGUGGAGUGAUUUGAUGAAAUUUCACCUAACCUCACUCCACAAAAGUAUAUGGAAUGUUGUUGAGUUUGGAGCACAGGUACCAUCCGUAGGGGAUGAGGAUUAUGAUGAGGACGAGGUGGCCCAAAUCGAGCACUUCAACUCCCAAGCCACAACUAUACUCCUCGCCUCUCUAAGUCGAGAGGAGUAUAACAAGGUGCAAGGAUUAAAGAGCGCCAAAGAAGUUUGGGACGUGCUCAAGACCGCGCCCGAAGGAGAUGAGCUAACCAAGAUCACCAAGCGGGAGAUGAUCGAGGGGGAGCUCGGUCGCUUCCGUCUUCGCCAAGGGGAGGAGACACAAGACAUGUACAACCGACUCAAAACCUUGGUGAAUCAAGUGCGCAACCUCGGGAGCAAAAAAUGGGAUGACCACGAAAUGGUUAAGGUUAUUCUAAGAUCACUUAUUUUCCUUAACCCUACUCAAGUACAAUUGAUUCGUGGCAAUCCUAGAUAUACACUAAUGACUCCCGAGGAAGUGAUCAGGAAUUUUGUGAGCUUUGAGUUCAUGAUCAAAGGCUCAAGGAAGAUCAACGAGAUUGAUGGUCCCUCCAUGUCCGAAGCACAACCGGUCGCAUUUAAGGCGACGGAGGAGAAGAAGGAGGAGUCUACAUCGAGUAGAACACCCAUCGACGCCUCCAAGCUCGACAACGAGGAAAUGGCGCUCGUCAUCAAGAGCUUCCGCCAAAUCCUCAAGCAAAGGAGGGGGAAAGAUUACAAGCCCCGCUCCAAGAAAGUUUGCUACAAAUGUGGUAAGCCCGGUCAUUUUAUUGCAAAAUGUCCACUAUCUAGUGACAGUGAUAGGGGCGACGACAAGAAGGGGAGAAGAAAGGAGAAGAAGAGGUACUACAAGAAGAAGGGCGGCGAUGCCCAUGUUUGUCGCGAGUGGGACUCCGACGAAAGCUCUAGCGACUCCUCCUCCGACAAGGACGCCGCCAACAUCGCCGUCACCAAGGGACUUCUCUUCCCCAACGUCGGCCACAAGUGCCUCAUGGCAAAGGACGGCAAAAAGAAGAAGGUUAAAUCCAAAUCCUCCACUAAAUAUGAGUCCUCUAGUGAUGAUAAUGCUAGUGAUGAGGAGGAUAAUUUGCGUACCCUUUUUUCCAACCUAAACAUACAACAAAAGGAAAAAUUAAAUGAAUUGAUUAGUGCUAUUCAUGAGAAGGAUGAUCUCUUGGACUCCCAAGAGGACUUCCUUAUUAAAGAAAACAAAAAGCAUGUUAAGGUUAAAAAUGCUUAUGCUCUAGAAGUAGACAAAUGUGAAACAUUAUCUAGUGAGCUAAGCACUUGCCAUGAGACUAUUAACAACCUUAGAAAUGAGAAUGCUAAUUUAUUAGCUAAGGUUGAUUCAAAUGUUUGUGAUGUUUCAAUUCCCAAUCUUAUAAAUGAUAAUGUUGAUUUGCUUGCUAAGAUUGAAGAAUUAAACAUCUCUCUUGCUAGCCUUAAAAAUGUAAAUGAAAAAUUACUUGCUAAGGCUAAAGAACUAGAUGUUUGCAAUGUUACAAUUUCUGACCUUAGAAGUAAAAAUGAUAUAUUGCAUGCUAAGGUUGUAGAAUUAAAAUCUUGCAAAACCUCUACAUCUACUGUUGAACAUACUUCCAUCUGUACUAGAUGUAGAGAUAUUAACAUUGAUGCUAUUCAUGAUCACAUGACUUUAAUUAAACAACAAAAUGAUCGUAUAGCAAAAUUAGAUGCUAAAAUUGCUGAGCAUGACUUAGAAAAUGAAAAGUUUAAAUUUGCUAGAAGCAUGCUCUAUAGUGGGAGAUGCCCUGGCAUUAAGGAUGGCAUUGGCUUCCAACAAGGAGGCAAUGUCAAACUUAAUGCCCCUCCUAAAAGAUUGUCUAAUUUUGUAAAGGGCAAGGCUCCCAUGCCUCAGGAUAACGAGGGUUACAUUUUGUACCCUGCCGGUUAUCCCGAGAGCAAGAUUAGGAGAAUUCACUCUAGGAAGUCUCACUCUGGCCCUAACCAUGCUUUUAUGUAUAAGGGUGAGACAUCUAGUUCUAGGCAACCAACCCGUGCUAAGUUGCCUAAGAAGAAAACUCCUAGUGCAUCAAAUGAUCAUGACAUUUCUUUUAAAACUUUUGAUGCCUCUUAUGUGUUAACUAACAAAUCCGGCAAGGUAGUUACCAAAUAUGUUGGGGGGCAAGCACAAGGGGUCAAAGACCUGUGUUUGGGUACCCAAAGUUCUUGUGUCUAAUGCCAAAGGACCCAAAACCAUUUGGGUACCUAAAGUCAAGAACUAAACUUAUUUUGUAGGUUUAUGCAUCCGGGGGCUCAAGUUGGAUCAUCGAUAGCGGGUGCACAAACCACAUGACAGCGGAGAAGAAGAUGUUCUCCUCCUACGAGAAAAAUCAAGAUCCCCAACGAGCUAGUACAUUCAGGGAUGGACACCAAGGUUUGGUCAAAGGUUUGGGUAAAAUUGCUAUAUCACCUGACCAUUCCAUUUCCAAUGUUUUUCUUGUAGAUUCUUUAGAUUACAAUUUGCUUUCCGUUUCCCAAUUGUGUCAAAUGGGCUACAACUGUCUAUUUACUGAUGUAGGUGUCACUGUCUUUAGAAGAAGUGAUGAUUCAGUAGCAUUUAAGGGAGUGUUAGAGGGUCAGCUAUACUUAGUAGAUUUUGAUAGAGCUGAACUCGACACUUGCUUAAUUGCUAAGACUAACAUGGGUUGGCUCUGGCACCGCCGACUAGCCCAUGUUGGGAUGAAGAAUCUUCAUAAGCUUCUAAAGGGAGAGCACAUUUUAGGACUAACAAAUGUUCAUUUUGAGAAAGAUAGGAUUUGUAGCGCAUGCCAAGCAGGGAAGCAAGUUGGUGUUCAUCAUCCACACAAGAACAUCAUGACGACUGACAGGCCACUAGAGCUCCUACACAUGGACCUAUUCGGCCCGAUAGCUUAUAUAAGCAUCGGCGGGAGUAAGUACUGUCUAGUUAUUGUGGAUGAUUAUUCUCGCUUCACUUGGGUGUUCUUUUUGCAGGAAAAAUCUCAUACCCAAGAGACCCUAAAGGGAUUCUUGAGACGGGCUCAAAAUGAGUUCGGCUUAAGGAUCAAGAAAAUUCGAAGCGACAACGGGACGGAGUUCAAGAACUCACAAAUAGAAGGCUUCCUUGAGGAGGAGGGCAUCAAGCAUGAGUUCUCUUCUCCCUACACCCCACAACAAAAUGGUGUAGUGGAGAGGAAGAAUAGAACUCUAUUGGACAUGGCGAGAACCAUGCUUGAUGAAUACAAGACUUCGGAUCGGUUUUGGGCCGAGGCGGUCAACACCGCCUGCUACGCCAUCAACCGGUUGUAUCUACACCGAAUCCUCAAGAAGACAUCAUACGAACUCCUAACCGGUAAAAAGCCCAAUAUUUCAUAUUUUAGAGUCUUUGGUAGCAAAUGCUUUAUUCUUGUUAAAAGAGGUAGAAAAUCUAAAUUUGCUCCUAAGACUGUAGAAGGCUUUUUACUAGGAUAUGAUUCAAACACAAGGGCAUAUAGAGUCUUUAACAAGUCCACUGGACAAGUUGAAGUUUCUUGUGACGUUGUGUUUGAUGAGACUAACGGCUCUCAAGUAGAGCAAGUUGAUCUUGAUGAGAUAGGUGAUGAAGAGGCUCCGUGCAUCGCUCUAAGGAACAUGUCCAUUGGGGAUGUGUGUCCUAAGGAAUCCGAAGAGCCUCCAAAUGCACAAGAUCAACCAUCCUCCACGCAAGCAUCUCCACCAACUCAAAAUGAGGAUGAAGCUCAAGUUGAUGAAGUAGAAGAUCAACAAGAUGAGCCACCUCAAGAUGACGGCAAUGAUCAAGGGGGAGAUGCAAAUGAUCAAGACAAGGAGGAUGAAGAACCAAGGCCGCCACACCCAAGAGUCCACCAAGCAAUCCAACGAGAUCACCUCAUCGACACCAUCCUCGGCGACAUUCAUAAGGGGGUAACUACUAGAUCUCGUGUUGCACAUUUUUGUGAGCAUUAUUCUUUUGUUUCCUCUAUUGAGCCACAUAGGGUAGAGGAAGCACUACAAGAUUUGGAUUGGGUGGUGGCGAUGCAAGAAGAGCUCAACAACUUCACUAGGAACGAGGUAUGGCAUUUGGUUCCACGUCCUAAUCAAAAUGUUGUAGGAACCAAGUGGGUUUUCCGCAACAAGCAAGACGAGCAUGGUGUGGUGACAUGGAACAAAGCCCGACUUGUGGCCAAGGGAUACUCCCAAGUCGAAGGUUUGGAUUUCGGUGAAACCUAUGCACCCGUAGCUAGGCUUGAGUCAAUUCGUAUAUUAUUGGCCUAUGCUACUUACCAUGGCUUCAAGCUUUACCAAAUGGACGUGAAGAGUGCCUUCCUCAAUGGACCGAUCAAGGAAGAGGUCUAUGUUGAGCAACCUCCCAGCUUUGAAGAUAGUGAGUACCCUAACCAUGUCUACAAACUCUCUAAGGCGCUUUAUGGGCUCAAGCAAGCCCCAAGAGCAUGGUAUGAAUGCCUAAGAGAUUUUCUUAUCACUAAUGGCUUCAAAGUUGGAAAGGCGGAUCCUACUCUAUUCACUAAAACUCUUGACAAUGAUUUGUUUGUAUGUCAAAUUUAUGUUGAUGAUAUUAUAUUUGGGUCUACUAACAAAUCUACAUGUGAAGAAUUUAGUAGGAUCAUGACACAAAAAUUCGAGAUGUCUAUGAUGGGGGAGUUGAAGUACUUCUUAGGAUUUCAAGUGAAGCAACUCCAAGAGGGCACCUUCAUUAGCCAAACGAAGUAUACUCAAGACAUUCUAAACAAGUUUGGAAUGAAGGAUGCCAAACCCAUCAAGACACCCAUGGGAACCAAUGGGCAUCUCGACCUCGACACAGAAGGUAAAUUCGUCGAUCAAAAGGUAUACCGGUCGAUGAUAGGUUCUUUACUCUAUUUAUGUGCAUCUCGACCGGAUAUUAUGCUUUCCGUAUGCAUAUGUGCAAGAUUCCAAGCCGACCCUAAGGAAGCUCACCUUACGGCCGUAAAACGAAUCUUGAGAUAUUUAGUUUAUACUCCUAAGUUUGGGCUUUGGUAUCCCAGGGGAUCCACUU
rnacentral:lncRNA from 1 species